rnacentral:lncRNA from 1 species
CAAGGAUGGACAACCUGUGUAUAUUGAGAGAAUAGGGCAAGUAGAUGUGACCAAGCUGAUGCAAGCCACAACCAUGGACCGCUAUGUGAAAUACCAUGUCCGGGAGUUUGAAAGGACAUUUGCUGUUAAGUUCCCAGCUUGCUCAAUCGCAGCAAAGAAGCACAUUGACCAAAGCACAACAAUCCUCGAUGUGCAAGGAGUGGUAUGUGACAACUACAAUCACUAUGGAAAAUUAGAGAGAAGCUGUUAUGUUGUUUAAAUGUGAACCAUUACGGAUAAUGACUGCAAUUGAUCUUAAGAGGCAUACACAGUUUAAGCAGUGUGCAUAUUUUACAUAGCAGUCUCACAAGUUCUUCUGUCUUUGAAGUCGUGUCUUUUUUUUUUUCACCAUUUCAUUGCAUGGAAUGAACUAUUUUAACAAAUUUUAUGCCUUAGGGACUUAAAAAUUUCAAUAAAGCUGCCAGGGAUCUUAUUGCUCGCCUUCAGAAGAUUGACGGUGACAAUUACCCUGAGGUACUGUCUUAAAAGUUGACAUAUUUUGGUCUAUAAAUUUCUGGAUUUUUAGAACUUUUAUCGUCAAUGGCAGAAUUGUGAUGCCAUGAAAAAAUGUUGUGAACAAUGCAGACCUUGAAUCGCAUGUUUAUCAUCAAUGCUGGUCCUGGUUUUAGAAUGCUGUGGAACACCGUGAAGUCCUUCAUUGAUCCCAAGACAACAGCAAAGAUAAAUGUGAGUCCAUAGCUUUUGAUGCUACAAAUGCUAGUUCUUGUCAGGGCCAUAUUAUUAAUAAAGGAAAGUUAUUAUCAUCCAGGUCCUUGGCAAUAAGUAUCAGAGCAAGCUACUUGAAAUAAUUGAUGCUAGGUAAGUCUCUAAUUGUGCAAUCUAUCUUGCACUCUUAAUUUUGGUAACCCAGGAUUUAUAACCUGUAUUGUUAUCAAGUGUUCCCAAAUGGCGUCGUCUGUUUAAACACACCACGGUGCUGCUUCAGUUUGUUUAUUUUGAUAUUCCCUUUCUGGUUUGGCUUUGCUCCAGUGAGCUGCCUGAGUUCUUAGGUGGUACAUGUACUUGUGCUGAUCAAGGAGGUUGUAUGCGUUCUGAUAAGGGCCCCUGGAAAAAGCCAGAGAUAAUGCAGGUGGACAAACCAUUCUGUUUCUGUUUUCUUUUCUAUAUAUCAUUGCAACUCCGUAUACUUUCUUUAGUUUGCUUUUGAAUUAAAAUUAUUAUAUAUUUGACUUGUGCACAUGCAGAUGGUCCAAAAUGGUGAUCAUAAAUGUUCAACAAAAUCUGGAAUUCAAGUAGGUCUUACUUGAUUUUAACUGGUUUUGUAAGAUACAUCUCAUUUGGUGCUUAUUGUCGUAAAAAAAGCUCAAGCUUAUUUGUAUAAUCUUCCCAGGAACGUGACACAGCUCCAACUCUAGCUGAUAAGCGACCUUUCUCUCCUAGAUUUACAAUGGAGCAUAUUGAGUAUCCAGGACUUUCUCGCUUUCAGGAAGAAGUAAGUAUAGGAAUUGUUGGUCAAAUACAAUUCAAAACAUUCAGCAUUUGAAGUGGGAUACUUUACUUUUUUAGUUUGCAACAAGGUCUUUUAAGAUAAACAAUCUUUACAGGCAUCCAUAGCGAAAAAUAUCCAAGAGUCUUACAAAUGCAAGGACCAUGUCUCAAUGGUCGGUAAAACUGUGGAUUCAAGUUGGCAAAUGGCAGGGAGCAGCAACUUUGCCCUAUCAAAGGGUUCAUCAUCUAACAACAUAGGUGACCUUAUAUCUGUAUUUUCUUUCUUUUUAUGUGUUCUGCAAUAACUAGGCUCUGGGUUUCCUUUAACUUGCAGCAGGAGAUUGUUUUUCCAGGGAUGAUGCUUGCAAAGUUCCUGAUGGGUUCGGCUCUCAGAUUUUGGCUGCUGUUAUGGCGUUUGUUAUGGGAAUAGUCACCAUGGUCAGACUGACGCGUAACAUGCCAAAGAAGCUCACUGAUUCCACCUUCUACUCCAGCACUGUUUGUGAUGGUGACACAAUGAUCAAACCCCAGGGGCCUUCAUACGCUGCCAUCUCUGGUACAGAUCUCAUGUCUGUCAUGAAGCGCAUGGCUGAACUGGAAGAGAGAAUGAGCAUGCUGAGUGUGAAACCAGCUACCGUGCCGGCUGAGAAGGACAGAAUGCUGAAAACUGCUUUAGGCCGGGUUGAUGCCUUGGAGCAAGAGCUCAUGGCAACAAAGCAGGUAUCUUAUCUUGGGUUUCUUUCUUUAAGUUCCUUUAUGAACUUUUUUGAACAGAGCUGUUAAGCCUAGCUGCACAAAUGCUGCUGCUGCAUCCAAUAAUAAAUGUUCAAUAGAGAUGAGUAUGAUAUCUCAUUCAAAUGGUUUCUUUGUUUAGGCUCUGGAGGAGUCGCUUACCCGGCAAGACGAGCUCUUGGGAAGUCUUGACAAAAAAAAGAAGAAGAAGAAGAAUAAGAUCAAUAAGAAAAUGGUAUGCCACUGACUGAGACUAAGAUCACAACAUCACCUAUUUAGUUCCUAAUAAUAAUUCAGCCUUAGAUUUUAGGUGGAGUUUGUGACACUUCUAAUAUGCUUUUGGCUUGCAAUGCAGUUCAUCUGGUGAAAGGUGAAAUGUCAAACACAGAAGAAAGAUGCAUAUGCUUGGUUGAAUACUUUGAAUAUUGUUGGCUCUCCAAAGCCACCCAAAUGCACUCCUACUCUACUUAUUGUUCCAUAAACGUUUACCACAAUGUGAAUGAACAGAAGUUUUGGCCAGAUACAGAGUUUGCCAGACUAUCACCAUUUUGCAGAUUAUUUCUUUCCUUUAUUUUGGGUCAAUGAUUAUGCAGAUAUAUUUUUCAAAUUAAAUUUCUAAAGUCUAAUAAUUAGUAAAGUAUUUAGUGUUUGGUAGAUACCCAAUUGGAUUUGGGGUGUUUGCAUGAUCUCUUCUCAUCAUGUUUUAGUUGUACCCAAAGACUUUCUUGUGUUUGCUAGCAGGAAAGCAAGUGUGAAGUUGAGCUACUUAGAUUAUUUAGAAUCUGGAUAAUAGAGUUUGAUGAAGCUCGAGUGGGACCCCCCACCCACCAAGCAAGCUUAAGUUAGCAAAGGCAACCGGCCUCGGGCGGCUGCCACUUUACACGUGGUGCGCCGCUUGCUUGAGGGAGGAGAAGUGAACAUAUAAUGGAAAAGUUUCUUUAAAAGAUUCACACGAGAGAGAGAGAGAGAGAGAGAGAGAGAGAGAGAGAGAGAGAGUGAGUGAAUGAAUUGUAAGGAAAGCAAAGGAAAACUCUCAACCUUGCCAUAUCUUCAAGUUGGACUGCCACCCCUAGGUUUUUUAGGCUUUACAUUCCCAGCUGGCUAACUUAGAGCUCCCACCCACCAUAAACUUUACACAUAGUAAUAUACAUCAGCAUUAUAAAAUCACUAAAUCAUUCUUUUUUUGUUACACAUAAAAUAACAAAAGGAGUGUGAGCCAUCUAGUUAACCUAAUGGUUAAUCUAAAGAUCUUUAGAUUGGGAGACAAAAUUUAAAACUUAAUAGCAAAUGACUUUAUGAAAUUUUUUUUUCUAAGUGUUAAAAGGGCUGUAAAAGAGGUGGGAGCCAAGGCCACCUUGCACUUGGCUCUAAUUAUGCCCGUACUAAUGGUAUUUCUCUUAUCUUUAAGUUCGAAAUCCCAAUAUAUUAUUAAUGUAUAAUUCAUAAAAUUUAAGCUAUAAUUACUAUUAAUAUUUCCAAAAUUAAAUAUUUUAGAUCUCUUAACUAUAAUUACCAUAUUAAAUUUUGGUGAUAAUACUUUAAUAUUAGAAAAUUAUUGUGCCGUUGACGGCAUAAAUUUCCAAAUAAGUAAGUGUUGAAAAAAGGUAUAUACAUGAGUGAGAGAGACUUUCCCUGUUCCUUGUGAUAAGUGAUUGACUGAUAAAUAGUCAGCCAACCAAACCAAGCCGAGCUGACAAGGAGCCGCCGUCGGUAGGCGGCGUUGGCGCUGAGCGUGAGCGUGAGCGUGUUUGUUUCUUUAAUUUCCAUGAUUUGGUUGUGUUGAUUGCACAUGAAAGAAGCAAGAAAACGAAGACCGAAAGAGAGAUGGAUGUUAAGAAGAGCUGUCGCUUCUGAGCAGUCUUUGUACCGAAAUUUGCCGUCGUGUCAUGGGUUUGGCUCAUUCUCAUUUCUCUGCCCCAUUCCCCCAAACCCAAAACCCAAAACCAACCUUUCGUUUCUUCUCUAUAUAAUAUAACCCAUAAGCCUCUCUCUCUCUCUCUCUCUCUAGUAUUUGCGUGCCAUGGGGCAUGUCGCUAAGAUCUCUCACUGAUCACGACGAGAUAACGAAUCAUAACUCGUGAUGAUCUGAUCACUACGAGCUUUUGAGCCAUUUAUAUCUAUUUAUAUUUAUAGAUAAAGGAGGGAUCUGCAUAACUACAUGCCACUUACUUGUCUCCACGACCUGAGAAUCUCUCUCUGAUUAAUGUUGCUCGCCAAUUAUUGAGGUUAGGCCUUUUCUCUCUUUUGGUUUUUUGUUCUUCUUCUUAAAUUUUGUGUAAAGUCGUAGAAUUGAGCUGCGAAUUCAUGAAUUGGGUAUUAGGAAGUGAAUUUGGGAGCUUCUUGUUGGGAAAAACCUUGCUUUCUUAGCUUAGCUUUGUUCAAUUUUGAGUUUGAAGGCAUGAAACAGAUAGAGUGUAAAAGGUAGAGAGUUUUUGGUGUGAAUGGGAUUUGAGAAUUGCUGGGUCGACGAGGAAAAGAACAAAAGUAAGGUUUAGGAGUGGACAGAGUGGGGUUUUAAGAAGAAAAAGAGAAAAGCCUAAAGGGGAAGUGAAAUUUUUUUAUAAAUAUAAAAAAGUAGGAAAAAGGCAACAAGAAUAACUCAAACAGGGAAGAGGGUGACCGGAAAAGAUCCAAGCCCAGAAGUGGUAAGGGCAAGUAAGGAUUGAUUCCAUUCUAAAGCCUCCCUCUUCUUCACACACGCAAAUACACCAAGACAUAUUGUCUUCUAGUUUUGUGUUAUUUUCAUCCAGUGCAUGUCAUGCACUUCAACUUUUGUCACUUGUUUAUGUUCCUUGUCUAAAUUGUUGUUCCAACCAGCUUCACCAGUAAGUUAAUGUGGUAAUUCAUGUUCUUAUUAUAUUUCAUUGCCUGAAGUUACUUGGAAGCAUUUGUGGUUUUAAGUUAUACUGGGUAUUGAUUCAUUUAGACCAUUUUAUGGUGAUUUGCAGAAAAAAAAAAUAUGGCAACUUUAGUUGAGCCCCCAGAUGGAAUUAGGCAACGGGGGAAGCAUUAUUACUCAAUGUGGCAAACAUUAUUUGAAGUUGACACCAAGUACGUUCCGAUCAAACCCAUAGGGCGAGGAGCAUAUGGCAUAGUGUGCUCGUCCAUCAAUAGGGUAACAAAUGAGAAAGUUGCAAUCAAGAAGAUCAAUAAUGUGUUUGAGAACCGAAUCGAUGCAUUGAGGACUCUGAGGGAGUUGAAGCUUCUUAGGCAUAUCCGGCACGAGAAUGUGAUUGCUUUGAAGGAUGUUAUGAUGCCUAUCCACAGGACAAGUUUCAAGGAUGUGUAUUUUGUUUAUGAGCUCAUGGAUACAGAUCUUCAUCAAAUUAUAAAGUCCUCUCAACCACUUACCAGUGACCAUUGCAAAUACUUUCUAUUUCAGGUAUUAGCUUCCUCUCAACUAGUGUUAUUUUACCUCAUUAAUUCUUUCAAGUAGGCAUUAUAAUUGGUUGAUGCUAAUUUUGUGCCAACUUAAUUCAUGCACACGAAUGAUUUUGGGAAUAGGAGUGGGAACUUAAUGAAUAGAACGCAUGUUACCAAUGAGACAUUGCAGCUUCUUGCAUUUUCUUAUUUAGAAAUUAACCUCUUGGGGUUCUGUGCAUUUCAAAGCUUGAAAAAAUGUGAUUAGAGACCAAGCUCCAGUUAAUUGUUUAGAUCUAUUUCUUCUAGGAGUUGUUCUGCUUGUGACUAAUUUUGACUUUGCAUUGUAGUUGCUUCGAGGUCUCAAGUAUCUUCACUCAGCAAACAUCCUUCACCGGGACUUGAAGCCUGGAAACCUGCUCAUCAAUGCUAACUGUGACUUAAAAAUAUGUGAUUUUGGGUUGGCCCGAACCAGUGGAGGUACUGGCCAAUUCAUGACAGAGUAUGUUGUCACUCGCUGGUAUCGUGCACCAGAGCUGCUAUUGUGCUGUGACAAUUAUGGAACAUCCAUUGACGUCUGGUCCGUAGGAUGCAUCUUUGCUGAGAUUCUUGGUCGGAAACCAAUCUUCCCUGGAACUGAAUGCCUCAACCAACUAAAACUAAUUAUCAAUGUUCUUGGUAGCCAGCAUGAACCUGAUCUUGCAUUCAUUGACAAUCCGAAAGCCAGGAAGUACAUCAAAUCACUGCCCUAUUCUAGGGGAACACAUUUUUCCCGUCUAUACCCCCAAGCUGAUCCGUUAGCUAUAGACUUGUUGCAAAGGAUGCUUGUGUUUGAUCCAACUAAGAGAAUCUCUGUCACCGAAGCACUCCAACACCCUUACAUGUCAGGGUUAUAUGAUCCAAGAUGCAAUCCUCCUGCCCAGGUUCCAAUCAACCUCGACAUAGAUGAGAAUUUAGCGGAACCAAUGAUUAGGGAGAUGAUGUGGCAUGAGAUGCUUCACUACCAUCCAGAAGCUGCUUUUGUGAAUGCCUAGGUAAUUUUCAAAAGGCUUUCCAGUUUCCUCAACAAUGCUUCUUCGUGCAAUUGGUUUAUAAUAGAAAACCAUGCAAUAGAGAAAUGUGUUGUUAGUAAUAAUGAUCUUAACAAGAUUUUGUAUUAUCUUGUUUGGUAGCUUGAGGUCUCUGAAUGGGACAUACUGUCUGGUAACUCUGUAUAUAAUUGUGCUUUGUUAUUUGAAAUGUACGACUAUAGUUCUGUAUUAUUGAUAAUGCACGUAAGACAUUUCCUAAGAAAUACCAAGGGAAUUGAAUAAAGAUGCGUCUAUUUUUAUUAUUGUUAGUUUCUUCUUUUUUUUCUUUUCUUGAUUUUCUCUACUCAAUCUUAAUAGGUGGAUGCAUGGGUCACUUACUCAAGCAUAUUGUAUAUGUUGAAACGUUUGCUGAUCUGGUUUACCUGAAAGGAAGUUAUACAAAUCUUUCCAAGUACUUUCACUUUAUGAUUUGGGCGAUAUGCUUAAUAGUUCAAUGCCCAUCAGAAGUAAGAAGGCCUAUCCUACGGCCAGCCCAAAUGGUUCAAGAGUCAUUCUACGGUGAGGUGAGGGUCUUAUAUAUGGUCCUUAAAUAAGAUUCUAUCUCUUAAUCGUUAAAUUAAAUUAAUUAAUUUAAUCUAAUGAUCAUUCAACAGAAAAAGAAAUUAUUAUCAAAGCUGCUACAUGGAAUGCUGCUUUUUAGGAAAGUACCCACCCUAUAUCCUACUCUAAAAAGCAUGUCACUUCCAAAAGUAUUAUAAAGAAAACAGAGCACACAAUUUGGGACCCAAGACCCGAUAUGCGCCCAACUUUUCUUAACCCCCAAAACGCACUAACAGCCCACCACUGCCCACUGCUCUUGCCCGGUUUCCUUUUGCCUUCCCUCCCUUCUUUUCAAAUAACUGGGUCCAAGCCUCCAAGGCAACUUGCAAGACCAUGUGCUUUUUUAAGGCACAUAAAAAAGUUGCUUCAGAUUUCAUUGGUUUUCAUAUAUCUUCUUGUGUUCACUGUUCAAUAUGAAAAGUAUGCUUGAAAGAGAACCAGCUGUGGCUGGCAUUUUUAAAUGAAAGAUUGCCUAAAUCUAAGCACAUGGGAUAUAAAAUGGGAAAUAUUUUUACUCACCACUUUAACUCAAGGGGUAUUUUCAUCAUCUUUCUCAUCACUUGACACGUGUCUAUUGAUAUAAUCAUAGUUAACUCUUUGUUUUGUAUUUAUAGAACUAUGAUUAUGUUCAUGAACACGUGUCAAGUGUUGAGAAUAAUGAUGAUGAUACACUUUGAGUUAAAGUGGUGAGCAAAAAUGCACAAAAAAAUAAUAAUCCAAUAAAUCAAUUCAUAAAACAAAUUGGUUGCUUAAAUUUAUAUGAAGUCUAGAAAAUGCAUACAAUUCAAACCAACGUUUUUGACCAAUCCCACUCCCUUUUUUUGUCUAAUUGAAAAUUGCAAGUUGUUGCUAAAUUGUGAUUGGAGUUGCAAGAUUUCUCAUGUUUACAGGGAGCAAAACAGAGCUGCUGAACACCUUGCUAAUUUGGGGUAUGAAUUACCUUGGCUUCAUAAUUUUGAGUCAGCUUUGGAUUCCAUUUUGAUCAUUUUGUUGUACAACGUGUUAGGAAGGGCCCUUGAAAGGGCAGUGAUCUGUUAGUUUUUUUCUUCUUAUUUCGUCUUGGCUUCGGCCUCCUUGUAACCAAAAAAAACAUUUAAGCAGAAACACAGGAGAAAUUAUUUUGAAUCUCAAAGCAACAAAGGUUCAAUUUGCUUUUUUCUGCUUGUGUCUUUUUAAAACACAUAGCUGCAAUGCUUGCCAAUGGGCACUGGUGUAGACUAGGAGAAACAAUUGUGUAAUAGGGAUAACAUUGUUUUGCUAUAUCCAACCAAUUACGCUACAUCACGCGUGACAAUUUUUUUAUUUGACAUAACGUGAUUGGUCGAAAGUAGCAAAUAGUGAUAUCCCCAUUUCAUAUAAAUUUUUCUGGAAGACUAUAGGGCGGCCCUGUCCUUUAAGCUGUAACCCUUCAUUAUUGAUCAAUGUUUAGGGACCAGCUUUCAGAAUUCUGACCACAUACAUGUGCCCUUUACUGCAGCAGUGUUUAUGCUUCUGGGAUCUUUUUUUUACCCUUUAAAAGAAAAUGCCACAUAAUAAAACUUUUACUGUCACAACAAUAGUUUCUCAAGAUGAGAUGAAAUAGUGCUCCUUUUGAGCAGUUUCACUUACAAAUUUACCUCAAAAAGUACAUCUCCAUUAUUUUUCAUGCUCAGUUUACCUCACAAAAUCAGAGGAAAGACUGACACAUUGAUUUUGAAGUAUACAUACCGUAUCAGUCAGGCUGCAACUUGGGGUCAAAAAAUACAAAGUCUUGCUAUUCUCUGCCAAUCAGGUUAUAUCAAGUGGAUAAAUUAUCAACCGUGCCAUAACGUGAUUAGUCAGACAUAACAAAACAGUGUUAUCCCGUUACACACAACACAAGUGUUUCUCAUUACCUUUUCCUUAUAAUUUUAUAUUGAGACAAUGAGACAUGUUCUUAAAUAUUCUUAAUAGUUUAUGUCUAUAUGGUGGGCGUUUCUGGUCUAUAUAUUCAACCCUCCACCACUCUUCAAAACCUCCUCUUCCUUAUCUUUUCUUCCUACUCUAAAAAUUGGUCUAAUCUCUAUCUCUGUCCCUCUGCUUCUCUCUGUUUUCCUCUCAUAGCUAUCUCUGUUUUCCUCUCAUAGCUAUCUCCCUGGUUCUGAAAACCUGUGUCUGCUUUAAAGUUCAUAACUUUGGGCACUUCUUUUUCUCCUUUAAUGCUUAACAUGCAUAGAUAUAGAUACAGUUGUAGAUGUUUGAGCUAGAUUGAUGUCUCCUGUACUUAGUGAAAUCCUGCUCUCUGGGUUUAUGGUAAAUUCCACUCUCAGGCGUAGAACCCACCUAGUUCAAUCCUUCUCUGUCUGCUUCCUCUACUGGUUCUAUGUGUUUUCAUGAACACCAUCUCUUCAUAAAAUAGCUCUGCAUCACAACUUAUAAGUAAUUAUAUUGCUUAUUUGAGGUUUUUUCAUUUUGUUUUCAAAAUUAGCAUCCGGGUUGUUUAAAUAAUCAUUCUAGUUUUAUUGGGUAAAAGAAAAGAUUGGUUUUUGAUUUUGUUAAGCAUAUUUUCCACAUGGGUUCUUCUAGUGGGGUUUCUUCAGGGUCAAGCAUGCUUCAGAACUCAGGCUCUGAUGAAGAUCUUCAUCAGGUCAUGGACCAAAGAAAGCGCAAAAGAAUGCUAUCCAAUCGGGAAUCGGCACGUAGAUCUAGGAUGCGCAAACAGGAGCAUCUGACCGAUCUGACGGCUCAAAUUGGUCUUCUGAAGAAGGAGAACCACCAAAUCCUCACAAGCAUGAAUGUGACCAACCAACUCUACAUGAACCUUGAGGCAGAGAACUCUGUCCUCAGAGCUCAGAUGGAUGAGCUCAGCAACAGACUGCAGUCUCUCAAUGAUAUCAUAGACUGCAUUAACUCAAGCAAAUGGCUUUUUGAGGCUGAAGAAGAAGACACUCAGAUUAUUGGUGGUGAUGGAUUUCUUAAUCCAUGGAGCACUCUCUGUUUGAACCAACCAAUUAUGGCUUCUGCUGACAUGUUUAUGUGUUAAUAAUCUUAAUUUAUUCAAAUCAUGGGUUAAGUGAGUUUUUCUGGUGGUGUUUUUCAGAAAUUAGUGAGUUUAAGAUGUGAGUUAGAAGCCCAUGUCAUGUGUAAAUUUGUUAUUAUAAUGAUGGAUGAGUCAUGGGUUUCAACUGUUCAACAUGUGGGCAUUGUGUAAGCAAUCAAUCUUUCUGGUAGCCAAUUACUUGAUUUAAUAAAAUCCAGUUGUAUUAUGUUCAUUUCCAGUUUAAUGGGUGCUCUGCUGGCCUAUUGUUUGUUUCUUUUGUUUUGUUUGUAUUUCAUGGUUGGAUUGGAUCAUAUGGUUAGACAAAUUUAGUGGACUCUGAAAGGUUGAUAUUUUUAUUUAAACUUUGCUUGGGUGCUUUGCUGGUGGGAUGAUGCUUUCUUCUAAGCAAUGUUGGGAAGCAUAAUGAACAUUACUUAAUUAUAAGAUCAUAGUCAUCAGACCAUUAUUAAUAUAAAACCUCUUCUCAUUUUUAUAUGCACGACAAAAUAUUAAUAACUCAUCAAUUGUCCCACGCAUUAUGAUUUUUCUUUCACACACAAUACCAAAGUGUCAUGGAGUUCAAACUUAAUCACUAAUUUGCAAAUCAAUGCACUUUUCCACUAGGCUAGACCCGAUUAGCAAAACUAAUGUUGUUUAAAGACAAAUCCUGUGACGUUUUGGAGUUUAUCAAGAAGGAAUAUUAUGUCCUUUCAAUUUUAUUUUAUUUUUUGUUUUAUCAGGAAAAGAGAAGAAGAAAAAGAGGCUAAGGAAUUGAAGUCAGAAAAGAGGUGCUCAUUUAGUUCUGUUGGCAAGCCAGCAGAGUGCCCAUUGUGCCACUGAGUGAUAAGAUCACAUUGAUCAACAAAUUUUUCAAAGCAAUGAAGAAUAUAAAUUAAGGCUUUGAGCCCCACUUACUAGUAUACUAUGAACAUAGACUACAAUACCUGUAUAACAAAAAUGCACGUUUUUUUUAAAAAAUCUAGUUCUUAAUGGGGAAAAUGAUUUUAAUGCAAAAGAUUAAAAAUAUAUAGGUAAGGCCUAGACCUAAUAGAGGUGAUUAAUUAAGUGUUAAACCAUGCUAUUACGUAUGUGUUGUUGGGCAUGGCACUUGCUCACCCACUAAUUCAAUUGAAAAAGAAAGGCUAAUUAAACAUAUGAUAAGUUUCAAUGUCCAUGGAAGGUGAUGAAAGCAUGUGGCCAACCAAUUAUGACAGACUUGCUCACAUGGACAAGAAAUUUAACUAUAAUUUGUGAAAGCUCUGUGCAUGUUUUUUCUUUUAUUGUUAGAAAAUAAAAAAGGUAGGCUUGAUCAUAGAAAUAAAAAGCCAUCUUUCCUUGGAAAAGGAAUUGCAAUUAUUGGCUUGACAUGCCUUGUUUUUUCUGUCUUUCUUCUUUUUAAUACAACCUUAGAAACUUAGCCAUUUCAUUUUGUAAAAUGCUUCAAGGGCAUCUCUAAUUACAUUGUAAUUCCUACUACAACACUAGUGGGAAGAUUGAACUAGUUUGGAUUGAAUAAUUUGAGCAUUUACGGUAUCGAAAUGUUUGCCGGACGAGAGCUUAAGAUUAUGACUUUCAUGUUGAACAAGAGAAUAACUGUUCUUUUCCACUCAGUCAUCAAGCAUAUCACAUCCCUUAACACAACAUUAAAUUUAAUACAGGAAAUAAAACUACCUCUGCUUACACAGGAGUAUACUUCCAAGGCUGUGAAGGGUAUCCAAGUCAUAAAGAUUUCAAAACUGCAAGACCUCUACAGGUGGGCACUUGUUUGUUCCCUAGAAAAUGGAAAAGCUCUAAGGUUUAAAGAGCAAAAAGAAACAAUAAACGAAAAAACAAUUCCUCAAUCAUCUUCUAAUUUAACCAGGUCAAGACCCAGGUGUGGUUCUGCUCUUCUUGAUGUAACUCCCAAAUCUUUGGGCAACUGCAGCAUCGUAUGACGUAUCCCAUACCUGAAAAUUCAACCACAUUGAAUUAGCAAUCAUCAUCCACCAUAGAAAAGCCUUUCAAAUAUCCAAAAAUCCACCCAUAAACAAGAUACAGAAAGAUGGCUCACUUCCAGAGUCCCUUUUGAGCCUCCUAUGGCAAGCAAAAACGGGUUAUCUUCCGAGAACGAAACAGAAAACACAGCUCCCUGACAACAUUCAGAAGAGAGUCCGACAAUCAAUCUCAUUGAAAAUAAACAAAUAAGAAAAAGAAGAAUAACUCAUUACAUUAGCAUAUAAAUCAUGUCACUUACAGCUUUAGGAUUCCUGGAUGAAAUGCAUGAGGGUUGGUUGUUUGACACAUCCCAAAGCUUUACCUGCAACAAAUAGUAGUGGAACAAUAUUAGGAUAUCCAAAUCUGGUUGGUAUACAGACUCAGCAGGUAAUGGGAAGAACAUAAUACCAUUUUGUCCGUGGAUCCAGUUGCAAGAAGCUGAAAAGAAAAGAACAAAGGUGAGAUUACACAUAAAUCAACAACAUAAAAAGUACCCAAAAAUGAAGAGAAAGAGGACUAUACAUUAGGUGCUGAGGGGUUAUAGGAGAUUGCGCAAACAGCUUUGUCGUGUGCAUGAAGAGUAAAACUAGGUUUAGACUCAGAAGUAGAAGAAGAUGUGGCAGCCCGAAUAUCAAAACCUUUGACUGUGCCGUCUUCAAGGCUCACCUGGAUGGAUUUACAAAAUGAAUGAUGAUCAAUAAAUGAUAAUUCUUAUCUAGCCAGAGAGUAACUGUAUCCACAUUAAAAGUACAUAUAAUACACACACACACAGGUGUUGAUACAAGGAAUCAACCAAAAAAAACGCAAAGAACUUCGUAAUUGAGUAUGAAAAAUGACUGUCUUAAGAACCAAAGCACACACCACAAAUGAAUGCUCAGUGUGUGGAUCCCAUGCUAAGCUUUCUACAUCAGCUGUGACUGUCCAUUUAUAGCCAGAAUGUGAUGACGCCCUCCCAUCUUUCUGGAAUGCAUAACAAUUAUAAAUUCACCAGUCAAUGAAAUUUUCAAAUAAGAAAGUUCCUUGACAAUGUCUAAAGUUUGUCGGAAAACAAAUAUAUGAAAAGAAUGUAACACUCAAGUAAAAAUAAUAUACCAAGACUACUGAAUGAUCAAAAGAUCCACUAAGAAGAACUUGAUGGGCAAAAUGAUUCCAUGCAACUGCCUGAACCUGUAAAAAUUAGAAUGAAGAAGUUAAAAUUGAGGUUAAAUUGCUAAAAUUGCAAGGAAAAGUCAGCUGAAAUCCUUAAAAUAGAGAGCUCAAGAUUGCAUUUGUUCUAUAGCACACCAUCCAAAAUAUGAUUUUGGGAUAAAAGAUAUAAAUGCAAUUCUUUCUAAAUUCUUGCCUUGUCUGUAUGAUGCUCCAUGGUAAUGGUACAUUUUCCGGUAGCCACAUCCCAAAUCUUAACUUGUUUGUCAGCACUUGCACUAGCAAGUACAUUUCUGUUUAUGGGAAAAGACAACAUCGAAUAUAAACCUUCCACUGAAGCAACAAGUAGUACAAAACUAUAAAAGAGUUAACAAACCUGUAGAACUUAUUCCAAGCAAGGCCAAGAACUGAAUCUCUGUGACUGCCUUCUUUGUAUUUGAUUGAUGCCUAACACAAAGCAAGUUGCAGAAUUGGUAAAAGGAAGUGACAAAGAAUUGCAUGAUUAUCAAACCCAGGCAUUGAAGGAAUUGAGCAUCAAACCUUCUUUCCUUUCUUUUUCUUCAUCUCAGCAAUACCGCCCAAUACCACACAUGGUUGUACUUCAUCAAUCUGAAAAACAGAAAAAAUGUUUAGAAAAAGCAAUAAUAUCUCCAUCAAUUUCCUACUUAAACCUACCUAAUGAGAGUAGAACGCAUAAACUACAUACAAUGUCAAGAUCCCAAAUCUCAAUGGAAGGUUCAUCCAUUAAACCAACAGCUAUGAAAUUCCCUGCCAGCAUAAAAAAAAAUAAUAUUUAACCAUCAAUUAAAUACAAAGGUAAAGCAAUGCAGAAACUGAAAACUUAUCCACGUUUUAAUAAACUUGUAAAAGAACCAGCUGUGGUUGGCAUCUUUAAUUGAAAGAUUGCCUAAAUCUAAGCACAUGGUAUCUAAAAAGAGGAAUAUCCCAUAUAUACAUGUAUUUGAGCAAGCAAUAUGUAAAUGAAAAUGGAGUAGACCUCAAAUAUCAAUAAAAAUCAGAACUGAUCCAAUAAACCAUACAAGGUUCAUAAAACAAAUUGGUUACUUAAAUUUAUGAAGUCUAGAGAAUGCAUAUGAUUCAAGUUUAAACACAUGAAAAAUUACUUUGAAUCUCAAAUUACUAUGAUUUCUAGUGAGAAAUUACAAUGCAUAAGAUAAUCAUCAUUUAAAUUCGCCAAAAAGAGAGCUAAUGGGUAACAGAAAUUUCGAGUUGAAGAAUCUAAAUUUUAACAAAAUUGUAAUUAAUAUCUAGGAAAACAACCAAUGAAGAUGAACAAUAAUCAGAUUCACCAAAUAGAGGCUAAUGAUUAACAGAAAUUUGAAAGAAGAAAAAGAAAAUAUUACAUUUUUCUUAAGAGAAGAAUAAAUUACAAUUAAAAAAUAUAAUUCACAUAUAUGAGUAAACUCAAGCAACUUCAACCAAAAUGCAUAACAUCACAUGAUUCGCACCUUUGUCUCCACCUUUGAGAGGACAAUCAAGCCAUGCUGUGCAAAGGGGGAACGAUGAAAUGAUGACGUCAUGGUGCACAUAAACAUUUGAUUCACCAUCUUCUGAUUCGACAUACAGCCAAAUCUGCUCAUACAUAAUUUAAUUAGUAUCAGUGACAAACCGACAAAGAGAAAUGAAACAAUAGUUUCAGCUAACUAUUACAUGCCUCAAGCUGGCUGACAUCAUCCUCAUUGCGGGCGCAGACUAUGACUGAAUCAGUCGGGUUAAUGGUCAUGUCAUCACUGUCUUCCGACUCCUCGUCCUUUGAUAAAAUAAAAAAUUGAAUAUGAAAAACUGAAUCCCUCUUCUAGCCUCACAAAACAAAAGAACAACAAAAACAGUGGCAUAAUUAAGUUGUAAAACUUACAUCAUCCUUAUCCUUGAGAUAUGGAUCCAUAUCAUUACUAGGGUAGUAAAGGUCUCCAAGCCCACUACUAAACGGGUCAAUGCCUAGGGUUAGACAUAAGAAGAAGCACUGUUAGCUAUAUAUCUUAAUUGACACUCAUGAGAGGAAACAUAUAAACUAUAGUACUAAUAACGCCAUUUAAAACUUAAGCAAAUUACUACUCUGUAACUUCAACAAUGCUUCAAGUUCAACCUUGUCUAAUAGCUUAAACUUUGGUCAUGUCAACAAUGCUUCAAGUUCAACACCUCCAGCUUAAGCAACAUUGUGAAUAAUCCCCCUUAUACUCCAAAAAUGAAUUCAAGAAAAUAAGAUAAAAUAGAAAUACCAUCCUCCUCAUCAUCAUAAUGUUCCAUGUCAAGUUCCCUCAAUCCAUCGGUUAUAUCAUCAAAUUUGGUCCCUGACUCUGUAACUUUAGAAGCUUUGCCGAGUGCUUUUGCUACCUCUAAUGCUUGGGAGAUUUGAUCAUCCUUCUUGGGGGUUUCAACAUCCAUUUCUCCAUCACCGUCCUCACUUUCACCAUCUCCACUGCACAAAACAACACCCACCACAACCAUACAAGUCAGCAAGUCGAAAAUCAACACCAAAAUGCAUAGACCCUCUUUGCCAAAGAGCAAACACGUGACAAAUAUACUCCAUGAAAAAUUCAAUCUUUUCCUUUUGCUUCCAGAAAGAAACUACCAACCCCAUAAAGAACAAGACCAACAAUUUGUUGCAAAAGAAGUGAUCGUCUUUAACAAAAAAAAAUCAAUGAGUUCAGAGCUUAGCCUCAGAACAAUAACAGCUAUCAGAACAGACAAUGGUCAUUCAGCAUCAAUAAAGCACUCAACGAUCACAAAAAUUAGACAAAUAAAAAAAGAGCUGAAGAACUUCACCUUCUCUCCAAAGCACCGGUUUUGAUUAACUCAUCGAUUUCCUCUUUGGUGGGCGGGUCGGCGACUGAGGGAACUGGCUUUGAAACUCCUCUGGGCACCCAAGAAAUUGCUGAUAUCAUUUCCUCUUCUUCGUUUUUUAAAACUUGGUUGAGCUUAAAUUGCUGUGUUUGACGAAGGUGGAGGUUUCAGGAGCUAUGAAAUUUGGCGGUGGAGCAACGAGGACUGUAUAUCUGUUGCCGCUCCUCGAUGGUGAAAAAUAGGGUUUUAAUACAAUUUCGGACCCGUUUGGUUAUAGGGAUAUUCCUAAACCCAAUCAGAUUAGAGUUUUGCUAACGUUUUCUUCAUUUGUUUUUUUUUUUUUUUUUAUAGUUUGGUUUUUGUUUUGUUUUUCAACUACUUCUUUUAACUUCUUUAUUUUUUCUUUGCCAAAGUUUACACAUGGAAAACAAAUUUUAAAAAGUCGAGUAUAGCCGCGCGGCUAUACUAUUCACACACACUAAAAAAAGGGAACUGCUGCGCAGAGCCCAGGCAUCCACGUGUAAAAUUGUAUAGCCGUGCGGCUGUACUUUUUUACAAAUGAAUUCAAAAACCUGAGUAUAGCCGUGCGGCUAUACUUUUUUUAAUAUAAAAAAGGAGCACCCAAGAAGCCACGUGUCAAAAAAAUCCAUUUUUAAAAAAAAUAAAAAAACACGGAGUAUAGCCGUGCGGCUGUACUAUUUUUCCUUUUUUUAUUUAUUCAUAAAGUCGACCCUUUAUCGUUUACCGCCACGUGUCGAAAAAUAGUAUAGCCGCUAUACUAUUUUUUAUAUGAAAAAUCGUAGUAUAGCCGCCCGGCUAUACUAUUUAAAUACAUUGUAUUUAAAAAUUAUGGCAGCACAGCUACACUAUUUAAUAAAAAUAUGAAAAAUAAAAUAGGACCCUCCUAGUUGCUUUAGUUUGUACCAUAUAAAUAUUAAUUUGCUAGGUUCAACAUAUCCAAAGUAGAUAUUAAUCUUCCACUAUAUGAUAUUUUAAUAUAAUUUUGCACACAUAUGUUAUUCUUAUUCAAUAAUAUGAGAGAAUUAUUUGUAUCAUACGUUUAAUAAUGUUUUAUAUACGUAUUUCUCAUGUUUAGUGCACUUAAUUUUAACAAAAAUUUCAGUAAGACGCAAAAUUCACGUAUUAUAUACAAAAUUCUAACAUAUUAUUGAAUAAAAAUAAUAUAUAUGUAAAAAAAAUCUCAGUUUUUCAUAAUUGUUUAUUAAAAAUAGUAUAGCCGCGCGGCUAUACUCUUUUUCAAAAAUUUUAAUUAAAAAUAGUACAGCCGCCCUGCUGUAACCGUUUGCCACGUGGCGCAUAGGCCUUGGCCGGUGUAAAAAGAGUAUAGCCGCCCGGCUACACUGGAUUCUUUUUGAAUUUUGUUCUAGAAAUAGUAUCGCCGCACGGCUAUACUUAUUUUCCCCAAAUUUUUUUUAAGUAGGCUGUGACACGCGGCACCUAUGCGCUGGGGCAUCUCUUUUUUUAAUAUAUAAAUAGUACAGCCGUUCGGCUGUACUUUUACAAAAUAAAAUUCAAUUUGCCACGUGGCGCAUAGUCCUUGGCCGGUGUAAAAAGAGUAUAGCCGCCCGGCUAUACCGGAUUCUUUUUUGAAUUUUCUUCUAGAAAUGGUAUAGCCGCACGGCUAUACUUAUUUUCCCCUAUUUUUUUUAAUUAGGCUGUGACACGCGGCACCUAUGCGCUGGGGCACCCUUUUUUUUAAUACAUAAAUAGUAUAGCCGCGCGGCUGUACUUUUAAAAAAGAAAAUUUAAUCCCAUUUACAAAAAAUUUAGUUUCUUUACUUUUCUUUUUUGACCUACUUCUUUUAUUUAAUAUAUGUAAUUGAGCAAUAUCUUAGCUUUUUUGAAUUACUUUAAUCACUACUUGUAUUUUAAUAUAUAUAUAUAUAACAAUUUCAAGUAAAAGUCCCCAAAAUAAUUCAUUUAUAUUUAUUAAGUCUUUCGAGAACUCGUUUGGGUGUCUUGAUUAAAUUUCUCCGUAGCCCAAGAGCCCUAUCUCUUAUUAUUAGGCCAUUGCUCGGGUAUCUAGUGUCCCUUUUUGAUUUUUUUUCUUUUCCAAAGCUAUUACCCGCAUAAAUAUUUUUGCACUUUCACGUUUAAUAAUGUUUUAUACACGUAUUUCUCAUGUUUAGUGCACUUAAUUUUAACAAAAAUUUCAGUAAUACGCAAAAUUCACGUAUUAUACACAUAAUUCUAACAUAUUAUUGAAUAAAAAUAAUAUAUAUGUAAAAAAAAAUCUCAGUUUUUCCAUAAUUGUUUAUUAAAAAUAGUAUAGCCGCGCGGCUAUACCCUUUUUCAAAAAUUUUAAUUAAAAAUAGUACAGCCGCCCUGCUGUAACCGUUUGCCACGUGGCGCAUAGGCCUUGGCCGGUGUAAAAAGAGUAUAGCCGACCGGCUACACUGGAUUCUUUUUGAAUUUUGUUCUAGAAAUAGUAUAGCCGCACGGCUAUACUUAUUUUCCCCAAAUUUUUUUUAAGUAGGCUGUGACACGCUGCACCUAUGCGCUGGGGCAUCCCUUUUUUUAAUAUAUAAAUAGUACAGCCGUUCGGCUGUACCUUUACAAAAUAAAAUUCAAUUUGCCACGUGGCAAAUAGUCCUUGGCCGGUGUAAAAAGAGUAUAGCCGCCCGGCUAUACCGGAUUCUUUUUUGAAUUUUCUUCUAGAAAUAGUAUAGCCGCCCGGCUAUACUUAUUUUCCCCUGUUUUUUUAAUUAGGCUGUGACACGCGGCACCUAUGCGCUGGGGCAUCCUUUUUUUUAAUACAUAAAUAGUAUAGCCGCGCGGCUGUACUGUUAAAAAAGAAAAUUUAAUCCCAUUUACAAAAAAUUUAGUUUCUUUACUUUUCUUUUUUGACCUACUUCUUUUAUUUAAUAUAUGUAAUUGAGCAAUAUCUUAGCUUUUUCGAAUUACUUUAAUCACUACUUGUAUUUUAAUAUAUAUAUAUAUAUAACAAUUUCAAGUAAAAGUCCCCAAAAUAAUUCAUUUAUAUUUAUUAAGUCUUUUGAGAACUCGUUUGGGUGUCUUAAUUAAAUUUCUCCGUAGCCCAAGAGCCCUAUCUCUUAUUAUUAGGCCAUUGCUCGGGUAUCUAGUGUCCCUUUUUGAUUUUUUUUCUUUUCCAAAGCUAUUACCCGCAUAAAUAUUUUUGCACUUUCACGUUUAAUAAUGUUUUAUACACGUAUUUCUCAUGUUUAGUGCACUUAAUUUUAACAAAAAUUUCAGUAAUACGCAAAAUUCACGUAUUAUACACAUAAUUCUAACAUAUUAUUGAAUAAAAAUAAUAUAUAUGUAAAAAAAAUCUCAGUUUUUCCAUAAUUGUUUAUUAAAAAUAGUAUAGCCGAGCGGCUAUACUCUUUUUCAAAAAUUUUAAUUAAAAAUAGUACAGCCGCCCUGCUGUAACCGUUUGCCACGUGGCGCAUAGGCCUUGGCCGGUGUAAAAAGAGUAUAGCCGCCCGGCUACACUGGAUUCUUUUUGAAUUUUGUUCUAGAAACUUAUUUUCCCCAAAUUUUUUUUAAGUAGGCUGUGACACGCGGCACCUAUGCGCUGGGGCAUCCCUUUUUUUAAUAUAUAAAUAGUACAGCCGUUCGGCUGUACUUUUACAAAAUAAAAUUCAAUUUGCCACGUGGCACAUAGUCCUUGGCCGGUGUAAAAAGAGUAUAGCCGCCCGGCUAUACCGGAUUCUUUUUUGAAUUUUCUUCUAGAAAUAGUAUAGCCGCACGGCUAUACUUAUUUUCCCCUGUUUUUUUUAAUUAGGCUGUGACACGCGGCACCUAUGCGCUGGGGCAUCCUUUUUUUUAAUACAUAAAUAGUAUAGCCGCGCGGCUGUACUUUUAAAAAAGAAAAUUUAAUCCCAUUUACAAAAAAUUUAGUUUCUUUACUUUUCUUUUUUGACCUACUUCUUUUAUUUAAUAUAUGUAAUAGAGCAAUAUCUUAGCUUUUUUGAAUUACUUUAAUCACUACUUGUAUUUUAAUAUAUAUAUAUAUAUAUAUAACAAAUUCAAGUAAAAGUCCCCAAAAUAAUUCAUUUAUAUUUAUUAAGUCUUUUGAAAACUCGUUUGGGUGUCUUAAUUAAAUUUCUCCAUAGCCCAAGAGCCCUAUCUCUUAUUAUUAGGCCAUUGCUCGGGUAUCUAGUGUCCCUUUUUGAUUUUUUUUCUUUUCCAAAGCUAUUACCCGCAUAAAUAUUUUUGCACUUUCACGUUUAAUAAUGUUUUAUACACGUAUUUCUCAUGUUUAGUGCACUUAAUUUUAACAAAAAUUUCAGUAAUACGCAAAAUUCACGUAUUAUACACAUAAUUCUAACAUAUUAUUGAAUAAAAAUAAUAUAUAUGUAAAAAAAAAUCUCAGUUUUUCCAUAAUUGUUUAUUAAAAAUAGUAUAGCCGCGCGGCUAUACCCUUUUUCAAAAAUUUUAAUUAAAAAUAGUACAGCCGCCCUGCUGUAACCGUUUGCCACGUGGCGCAUAGGCCUUGGCCGGUGUAAAAAGAGUAUAGCCGACCGGCUACACUGGAUUCUUUUUGAAUUUUGUUCUAGAAAUAGUAUAGCCGCACGGCUAUACUUAUUUUCCCCAAAUUUUUUUUAAGUAGGCUGUGACACGCUGCACCUAUGCGCUGGGGCAUCCCUUUUUUUAAUAUAUAAAUAGUACAGCCGUUCGGCUGUACCUUUACAAAAUAAAAUUCAAUUUGCCACGUGGCAAAUAGUCCUUGGCCGGUGUAAAAAGAGUAUAGCCGCCCGGCUAUACCGGAUUCUUUUUUGAAUUUUCUUCUAGAAAUAGUAUAGCCGCCCGGCUAUACUUAUUUUCCCCUGUUUUUUUAAUUAGGCUGUGACACGCGGCACCUAUGCGCUGGGGCAUCCUUUUUUUUAAUACAUAAAUAGUAUAGCCGCGCGGCUGUACUGUUAAAAAAGAAAAUUUAAUCCCAUUUACAAAAAAUUUAGUUUCUUUACUUUUCUUUUUUGACCUACUUCUUUUAUUUAAUAUAUGUAAUUGAGCAAUAUCUUAGCUUUUUCGAAUUACUUUAAUCACUACUUGUAUUUUAAUAUAUAUAUAUAUAUAUAACAAUUUCAAGUAAAAGUCCCCAAAAUAAUUCAUUUAUAUUUAUUAAGUCUUUUGAGAACUCGUUUGGGUGUCUUAAUUAAAUUUCUCCGUAGCCCAAGAGCCCUAUCUCUUAUUAUUAGGCCAUUGCUCGGGUAUCUAGUGUCCCUUUUUUAUUUUUUUUCUUUUCCAAAGCUAUUACCCGCAUAAAUAUUUUUGCACUUUCACGUUUAAUAAUGUUUCAUACACGUAUUUCUCAUGUUUAGUGCACUUAAUUUUAACAAAAAUUUCAGUAAUACGCAAAAUUCACGUAUUAUACACAUAAUUCUAACAUAUUAUUGAAUAAAAAUAAUAUAUAUGUAAAAAAAAUCUCAGUUUUUCCAUAAUUGUUUAUUAAAAAUAGUAUAGCCGCGCGGCUAGACUCUUUUUCAAAAAUUUUAAUUAAAAAUAGUACAGCCGCCGUGCUGUAACCGUUUGCCACGUGGCGCAUAGGCCUUGGCCGGUGUAAAAAGAGUAUAGCCGACCGGCUACACUGGAUUCUUUUUUGAAUUUUGUUCUAGAAAUAGUAUAGCCGAACGGCUAUACUUAUAUUCCCCAAAUUUUUUUUAAGUAGGCUGUGACACGCGGCACCUAUGCGCUGGGGCAUCCCUUUUUUUAAUAUAUAAAUAGUACAGCCGUUCGGCUGUACUGUUACAAAAUAAAAUUCAAUUUGCCACGUGGCACAUAGUCCUUGGCCGGUGUAAAAAGAGUAUAGCCGCCCGGCUAUACCGGAUUCUUUUUUGAAUUUUCUUCUAGAAAUAGUAUAGCCGCCCGGCUAUACUUAUUUUCCCCUGUUGUUUUUAAUUAGGCUGUGAAACGCGGCACCUAUGCGCUGGGGAAUCCUUUUUUUUAAUACAUAAAUAGUAUAGCCGCGCGGCUGUACUUUUAAAAAAGAAAAUUUAAUCCCAUUUACAAAAAAUUUAGUUUCUUUACUUUUCUUUUUUGACCUACUUCUUUUAUUUAAUAUAUGUAAUUGAGCAAUAUCUUAGCUUUUUUGAAUUACUUUAAUCACUACUUGUAUUUUAAUAUAUAUAUAUAUAUAUAUAUAUAUAACAAUUUCAAGUAAAAGUCCCCAAAAUAAUUCAUUUAUAUUUAUUAAGUCUUUUGAGAACUCGUUUGGGUGUCUUAAUUAAAUUUCUCCGUAGCCCAAGAGCCCUAUCUCUUAUUAUUAGGCCAUUCCUCGGGUAUCUAGUGUCCCUUUUUGAUUUUUUUUCUUUUCCAAAGCUAUUACCCGCAUAAAUAUUUUUGCACUUUCACGUUUAAUAAUGUUUCAUACACGUAUUUCUCAUGUUUAGUGCACUUAAUUUUAACAAAAAUUUCAGUAAUACGCAAAAUUCACGUAUUAUACACAUAAUUCUAACAUAUUAUUGAAUAAAAAUAAUAUAUAUGUAAAAAAAAUCUCAGUUUUUCCAUAAUUGUUUAUUAAAAAUAGUAUAGCCGCGCGGCUAUACUCUUUUUCAAAAAUUUUAAUUAAAAAUAGUACAGCCGCCCUGCUGUAACCGUUUGCCACGUGGCGCAUAGGCCUUGGCCGGUGUAAAAAGAGUAUAGCCGCCCGGCUACACUGGAUUCUUUUUGAAUUUUGUUCUAGAAAUAGUAUAGCCGCACGGCUAUACUUAUUUUCCCCAAAUUUUUUUUAAGUAGGUUGUGACACGCGGCACCUAUGCGCUGGGGCAUCCCUUUUUUUAAUAUAUAAAUAGUACAGCCGUGCGGCUGUACUUUUACAAAAUAAAAUUCAAUUUGCCACGUGGCACAUAGUCCUUGGCCGGUGUAAAAAGAGUAUAGCCGCCCGGCUAUACCGGAUUCUUUUUUGAAUUUUCUUCUAGAAAUAGUAUAGCCGCACGGCUAUACUUAUUUUCCCCUGUUUUUUUUAAUUAGGCUGUGACACGCGGCACCUAUGCGCUGGGGCAUCCUUUUUUUUAAUACAUAAAUAGUAUAGCCGCGCGGCUGUACUUUUAAAAAAGAAAAUUUAAUCCCAUUUACAAAAAAUUUAGUUUCUUUACUUUUCUUUUUUGACCUACUUCUUUUAUUUAAUAUAUGUAAUUGAGCAAUAUCUUUGCUUUUUUGAAUUACUUUAAUCACUACUUGUAUUUUAAUAUAUAUAUAUAUAUAACAAUUUCAAGUAAAAGUCCCCAAAAUAAUUCAUUUAUAUUUAUUAAGUCUUUUGAAAACUCGUUUGGGUGUCUUAAUUAAAUUUCUCCAUAGCCCAAGAGCCCUAUCUCUUAUUAUUAGGCGAUUGCUCGGGUAUCUAGUGUCCCUUUUUGAUUUUUUUUCUUUUCCAAAGCUAUUACCCGCAUAAAUAUUUUUGCACUUUCACGUUUAAUAAUGUUUUAUACACGUAUUUCUCAUGUUUAGUGCACUUAAUUUUAACAAAAAUUUCAGUAAUACGCAAAAUUCACGUAUUAUACACAUAAUUCUAACAUAUUAUUGAAUAAAAAUAAUAUAUAUGUAAAAAAAAUCUCAGUUUUUCCAUAAUUGUUUAUUAAAAAUAGUAUAGCCGAGCGGCUAUACUCUUUUUCAAAAAUUUUAAUUAAAAAUAGUACAGCCGCCGUGCUGUAACCGUUUGCCACGUGGCGCAUAGGCCUUGGCCGGUGUAAAAAGAGUAUAGCCGACCGGCUACACUGGAUUCUUUUUGAAUUUUGUUCUAGAAAUAGUAUAGCCGCGCGGCUAUACGUAUUUUCCCCAAAUUUUUUUUAAGUAGGCUGUGACACGCGGCACCUAUGCGCUGGGGCAUCCCUUUUUUUAAUAUAUAAAUAGUACAGCCGUUCGGCUGUACUUUUACAAAAUAAAAUUCAAUUUGCCACGUGUCACAUAGUCCUUGGGCGGUGUAAAAAGAGUAUAGCCGCCCCGCUAUACCGGAUUCUUUUUUGAAUUUUCUUCUAGAAAUAGUAUAGCCGCACGGCGAUACUUAUUUUCCCCUAUUUUUUUUAAUUAGGCUGUGNNNNNNNNNNNNNNNNNNNNNNNNNNNNNNNNNNNNNNNNNNNNNNNNNNNNNNNNNNNNNNNNNNNNNNNNNNNNNNNNNNNNNNNNNNNNNNNNNNNNCUAUGCGGUUGUGCAUCCUUUUUUUUUAUACAUAAAUAGUAUAGCCGUGCGGCUGUACUUUAAAAAAAGAAAAUUUAAUCCCAUGUACAAAAAAUUUAGUUUCUUUACUUUUCUUUUUUGACCUACUUCUUUUAUUUAAUAUAUGUAAUUGAGCAAUAUCUUAGCUUUUUUGAAUUACUUUAAUCACUACUUGUAUUUUAAUAUAUAUAUAUAUAUAUAUAUAUAUAACAAAUUCAAGUAAAAGUCCCCAAAAUAAUUCAUUUAUAUUUAUUAAGUCUUUUGAGAACUCGUUUGGGUGUCUUAAUUAAAUUUCUCCAUAGCCCAAGAGCCCUAUCUCUUAUUAUUAGGCCAUUGCUCGGGUAUCUAGUGUCCCUUUUUGAUUUUUGUUCUUUUCCAAAGCUAUUACCCGCAUAAAUAUUUUUGCACUUUCACGUUUAAUAAUGUUUUAUACACGUAUUUCUCAUGUUUAGUGCACUUAAUUUUAACAAAAAUUUCAGUAAUACGCAAAAUUCACGUAUUAUACACAUAAUUCUAACAUAUUAUUGAAUAAAAAUAAUAUAUAUGUAAAAAAAAUCUCAGUUUUUCCAUAAUUGUUUAUUAAAAAUAGUAUAGCCGCGCGGCUAUACUCUUUUUCAAAAAUUUUAAUUAAAAAUAGUACAGCCGCCGUGCUGUAACCGUUUGCCACGUGGCGCAUAGGCCUUGGCCGGUGUAAAAAGAGUAUAGCCGACCGGCGACACUGGAUUCUUUUUGAAUUUUGUUCUAGAAAUAGUAUAGCCGCACGGCUAUACUUAUUUUCCCCAAAUUUUUUUAAGUAGGCUGUGACACGCGGCACCUAUGCGCUGGGGCAGCCCUUUUUUUAAUAUAUAAAUAGUACAGCCGGUCGGCUGUACUUUUACAAAAUAAAAUUCAAUUUGCCACGUGGCACAUAGUCCUUGGCCGGUGUAAAAAGAGUAUAGCCGCCCGGCUAUACCGGAUUGUUUUUUGAAUUUUCUUCUAGAAAUAGUAUAGCCGCACGGCUAUACUUAUUUUCCCCUGUUUUUUUUAACUAGGCUGUGACACGCGGCACCUAUGCGCUUGGGCAUCCUUUUUUUUUUAAUACAUAAAUCGUAUAGCCGUGCGGCUGUACUUUAAAAAAAGAAAAUUUAAUCCCAUUUACAAAAAUUUAGUUUCUUUACUUUUCUUUUUUGACCUACUUUUUUUAUUNNNNNNNNNNNNNNNNNNNNNNNNNNNNNNNNNNNNNNNNNNNNNNNNNNNNNNNNNNNNNNNNNNNNNNNNNNNNNNNNNNNNNNNNNNNNNNNNNNNNNNNNNNNNNNNNNNNNNNNNNNNNNUCUUUUGAGAACUCGUUUGGGUGUCUUAAUUAAAUUUUUCCGUAAGCCCAAGAGCCCUAUCUCUUAUUGUUAGGCCAUUGCUCGGGUAUCUAGUGUCCCUUUUUGAUUUUUUUUCUUUUCCAAGCUAUUACCCGCAUAAAUAUUUUUGCACUUUCACGUUUAAUAAUGUUUGACACACGUAUUUCUCAUGUUUAGUGCACUUAAUUUUAACAAAAAUUUCAGUAAUACGCAAAUUCACGUAUUAUACACAUAAUUCUAACAUAUUAUUGAAUAAAAAUAAUAUAUAUGUAAAAAAAAUCUCAGUUUUUCCAUAAUUGUUUAUUAAAAAUAGUAUAGCCGGGCGGCUAUACUCUUUUNNNNNNNNNNNNNNNNNNNNNNNNNNNNNNNNNNNNNNNNNNNNNNNNNNNNNNNNNNNNNNNNNNNNNNNNNNNNNNNNNNNNNNNNNNNNNNNNNNNNGCUACACUGGAUUCUUUUUGAAUUUUGUUCUAGAAAUAGUAUAGCCGCACGGCUAUACUUAUUUUCCCCAAAUUUUUUUUAAGUAGGCUGUGACACGCGGCACCUAUGCGCUGGGGCAUCCCUUUUUUUAAGAUAUAAAUAGUACAGCCGUUCGGCUGUACUGUUACAAAAUAAAAUUCAAUUUGCCACGUGGCACAUAGUCCUUGGCCGGUGUAAAAAGAGUAUAGCCGCCCGGCUAUACCGGAUUCUUUUUUGAAUUUUCUUCUAGAAAUAGUAUAGCCGCCCGGCGAUACUUAUUUUCCCCUGUUUUUUUUAAUUAGGCUGUGACACGCGGCACCUAUGCGCUGGGGCAUCCUUUUUUUUAAUACAUAAAUAGUAUAGCCGCGCGGCUGUACGUUUAAAAAAGAAAAUUUAAUCCCAUUUACAAAAUAUUUAGUUUCUUUACUUUUCUUUUUUGACCUACUUCUUUUAUUUAAUAUAUGUAAUUGAGCAAUAUCUUAGCUUUUUUGAAUUACUUUAAUCACUACUUGUAUUUUAAUAUAUAUAUAUAUAACAAUUUCAAGUAAAAGUCCCCAAAAUAAUUCAUUUAUAUUUAUUAACUCUUUUGAGAACUCGUUUGGGUGUCUUAAUUAAAUUUCUCCGUAUCCCAAGAGCCCUAUCUCUUAUUAUUAGGCCAUUGCUCGGGUAUCUAGUGUUCCUUUUUGAUUUUUUUUCUUUUCCAAAGCUAUUACCCGCAUAAAUAUUUUUGCACUUUCACGUUUAAUAAUGUUUUAUACACGUAUUUCUCAUGUUUAGUGCACUUAAUUUUAACAAAACUUUCAGUAAUACGCAAAAUUCACGUAUUAUACACAUAAUUCUAACAUAUUAUUGAAUAAAAAUAAUAUAUAUGUAAAAAAAAUCUCAGUUUUUCCAUAAUUGUUUAUUAAAAAUAGUAUAGCCGCGCGGCUAUACUCUUUUUCAAAAAUUUUAAUUAAAAAUAGUACAGCCGCCGUGCUGUAACCGUUUGCCACGUGGCGCAUAGGCCUUGGCCGGUGUAAAAAGAGUAUAGCCGACCGGCGACACUGGAUUCUUUUUGAAUUUUGUUCUAGAAAUAGUAUAGCCGCACGGCUAUACUUAUUUUCCCCAAAUUUUUUUAAGUAGGCUGUGACACGCGGCACCUAUGCGCUGGGGCAGCCCUUUUUUUAAUAUAUAAAUAGUACAGCCGGUCGGCUGUACUUUUACAAAAUAAAAUUCAAUUUGCCACGUGGCACAUAGUCCUUGGCCGGUGUAAAAAGAGUAUAGCCGCCCGGCUAUACCGGAUUGUUUUUUGAAUUUUCUUCUAGAAAUAGUAUAGCCGCACGGCUAUACUUAUUUUCCCCUGUUUUUUUUAACUAGGCUGUGACACGCGGCACCUAUGCGCUUGGGCAUCCUUUUUUUUUUAAUACAUAAAUCGUAUAGCCGUGCGGCUGUACUUUAAAAAAAGAAAAUUUAAUCCCAUUUACAAAAAAUUUAGUUUCUUUACUUUUCUUUUUUGACCUACUUUUUUUAUUUAAUAUAUGUAAUUGAGCAAUAUCUUAGCUUUUUGGAAUUACUUUAAUCAGUACUUGUAUUUUAAUAUAUAUAUAUAACAAUUUCAAGUAAAAGUCCCCAAAAUAAUUCAUUUAUAUUUAUUAAGUCUUUUGAGAACUCGUUUGGGUGUCUUAAUUAAAUUUCUCCGUAGCCCAAGAGCCCUAUCUCUUAUUAUUAGGCCAUUGCUCGGGUAUCUAGUGUCCCUUUUUGAUUUUUUUUCUUUUCCAAAGCUAUUACCCGCAUAAAUAUUUUUGCACUUUCACGUUUAAUAAUGUUUUAUACACGUAUUUCUCAUGUUUAGUGCACUUAAUUUUAACAAAACUUUCAGUAAUACGCAAAAUUCACGUAUUAUGCACAUAAUUCUAACAUAUUAUUGAAUAAAAAUAAUAUAUAUGUAAAAAAAAUCUCAGUUUUUCCAUAAUUGUUUAUUAAAAAUAGUAUAGCCGGGCGGCUAUACGCUUUUUCAAAAAUUUUAAUUAAAAAUAGUACAGCCGCCCUGCUGUAACCAUUUGCCACGUGGCGCAUAGGCCUUGGCCGGUGUGAAAAGCGUAUAGCCGCCCGGCUACACUGGAUUCUUUUUGAAUUUUGUUCUAGAAAUAGUAUAGCCGCACGGCUAUACUUAUUUUCCCCAAAUUUUUUUUAAGUAGGCUGUGACACGCGGCACCUAUGGGCUGGGGCAUCCCUUUUUUUAAUAUAUAAAUAGUACAGCCGUGCGGCUGUACUUUUACAAAAUAAAAUUCAAUUUUCCACGUGGCACAUAGUCCUUGGGCGGUGUAAAAAGAGUAUAGCCGCCCUGCUAUACCGGAUUCUUUUUUGAAUUUUCUUCUAGAAAUAGUAUAGCCGCACGGCUAUACUUAUUUUCCCCUAUUUUUUUUAAUGAGGCUGUGACACGCGGCACCUAUGCGCUGGGGCAUCCUUUUUUUUUAAUACAUAAAUAGUAUAGCCGUGCGGCGGUACUUUUAAAAAAGAAAAUUUAAUCCCAUUUACAAAAAAUUUAGUUUCUUUACUUUUCUUUUUUGACCUACUUCUUUUAUUUAAUAUAUGUAAUUGAGCAAUAUCUUAGCUUUUUUGAAUUACUUUAAUCACUACUUGUAUUUUAAUAUAUAUAUAUAUAUAUAUAUAUAUAACAAAUUCAAGUAAAAGUCCCCAAAAUAAUUCAUUUAUAUUUAUUAAGUCUUUUGAAAACUCGUUUGGGUGUCUUAAUUAAAUUUCUCCAUAGCCCAAGAGCCCUAUCUCUUAUUAUUAGGCCAUUGCUCGGGUAUCUAGUGUCCCUUUUUGAUUUUUUUUCUUUUCCAAAGCUAUUACCCGCAUAAAUAUUUUUGCACUUUCACGUUUAAUAAUGUUUUAUACACGUAUUUCUCAUGUUUAGUGCACUUAAUUUUAACAAAAAUUUCAGUAAUACGCAAAAUUCACGUAUUAUACACAUAAUUCUAACAUAUUAUUGAAUAAAAAUAAUAUAUAUGUAAAAAAAAUCUCAGUUUUUCCAUAAUUGUUUAUUAAAAAUAGUAUAGCCGCGCGGCUAUACUCUUUUUCAAAAAAUUUAAUUAAAAAUAGUACCGCGGCCGUGCUGUAACCGUUUGCCACGUGGCGCAUAGGCCUUGGCCGGUGUAAAAAGAGUAUAGCCGCCCGGCUAAACUGGAUUCUUUUUGAAUUUUGUUCUAGAAAUAGUAUAGCCGCACGGCUAUACUUAUUUUCCCCAAAUUUUUUUUAAGUAGGCUGUGACACGCGGCACCUAUGCGCUGGGGCAUCCCUUUUUUUAAUAUAUAAAUAGUACAGCCGUGCGGCUGUACUUUUACAAAAUAAAAUUCAAUUUGCCACGUGGCACAUAGUCCUUGGCCGGUGUAAAAAGAGUAUAGCCGCCCGGCUAUACCGGAUUCUUUUUUGAAUUUUCUUCUAGAAAUAGUAUAGCCGCACGGCUAUACUUAUUUUCCCCUGUUUUUUUUAAUUAGGCUGUGACACGCGGCACCUAUGCGCUGGGGCAUCCUUUUUUUUAAUACAUAAAUAGUAUAGCCGCGCGGCUGUACUUUUAAAAAAGAAAAUUUAAUCCCAUUUACAAAAAAUUUAGUUUCUUUACUUUUCUUUUUUGACCUACUUCUUUUAUUUAAUAUAUGUAAUUGAGCAAUAUCUUUGCUUUUUUGAAUUACUUUAAUCACUACUUGUAUUUUAAUAUAUAUAUAUAUAUAUAUAUAUAUAACAAAUUCAAGUAAAAGUCCCCAAAAUAAUUCAUUUAUAUUUAUUAAGUCUUUUGAGAACUCGUUUGGGUGUCUUAAUUAAAUUUCUCCAUAGCCCAAGAGCCCUAUCUCUUAUUAUUAGGCCAUUGCUCGGGUAUCUAGUGUCCCUUUUUGAUUUUUGUUCUUUUCCAAAGCUAUUACCCGCAUAAAUAUUUUUGCACUUUCACGUUUAAUAAUGUUUUAUACACGUAUUUCUCAUGUUUAGUGCACUUAAUUUUAACAAAAAUUUCAGUAAUACGCAAAAUUCACGUAUUAUACACAUAAUUCUAACAUAUUAUUGAAUAAAAAUAAUAUAUAUGUAAAAAAAAUCUCAGUUUUUCCAUAAUUGUUUAUUAAAAAUAGUAUAGCCGCGCGGCUAUACUCUUUUUCAAAAAUUUUAAUUAAAAAUAGUACAGCCGCCGUGCUGUAACCGUUUGCCACGUGGCGCAUAGGCCUUGGCCGGUGUAAAAAGAGUAUAGCCGACCGGCGACACUGGAUUCUUUUUGAAUUUUGUUCUAGAAAUAGUAUAGCCGCACGGCUAUACUUAUUUUCCCCAAAUUUUUUUAAGUAGGCUGUGACACGCGGCACCUAUGCGCUGGGGCAGCCCUUUUUUUAAUAUAUAAAUAGUACAGCCGGUCGGCUGUACUUUUACAAAAUAAAAUUCAAUUUGCCACGUGGCACAUAGUCCUUGGCCGGUGUAAAAAGAGUAUAGCCGCCCGGCUAUACCGGAUUGUUUUUUGAAUUUUCUUCUAGAAAUAGUAUAGCCGCACGGCUAUACUUAUUUUCCCCUGUUUUUUUUAACUAGGCUGUGACACGCGGCACCUAUGCGCUUGGGCAUCCUUUUUUUUUUAAUACAUAAAUCGUAUAGCCGUGCGGCUGUACUUUAAAAAAAGAAAAUUUAAUCCCAUUUACAAAAAAUUUAGUUUCUUUACUUUUCUUUUUUGACCUACUUUUUUUAUUUAAUAUAUGUAAUUGAGCAAUAUCUUAGCUUUUUGGAAUUACUUUAAUCAGUACUUGUAUUUUAAUAUAUAUAUAUAACAAUUUCAAGUAAAAGUCCCCAAAAUAAUUCAUUUAUAUUUAUUAAGUCUUUUGAGAACUCGUUUGGGUGUCUUAAUUAAAUUUCUCCGUAGCCCAAGAGCCCUAUCUCUUAUUAUUAGGCCAUUGCUCGGGUAUCUAGUGUCCCUUUUUGAUUUUUUUUCUUUUCCAAAGCUAUUACCCGCAUAAAUAUUUUUGCACUUUCACGUUUAAUAAUGUUUUGUACACGUAUUUCUCAUGUUUAGUGCACUUAAUUUUAACAAAAAUUUCAGUAAUACGCAAAAUUCACGUAUUAUACACAUAAUUCUAACAUAUUAUUGAAUAAAAAUAAUAUAUAUGUAAAAAAAAUCUCAGUUUUUCCAUAAUUGUUUAUUAAAAAUAGUAUAGCCGGGCGGCUAUACUCUUUUUCAAAAAAUUUAAUUAAAAAUAGUACAGCCGCCCUGCUGUAACCGUUUGCCACGUGGCGCAUAGGCCUUGGCCGGUGUAAAAAGAGUAUAGCCGACCGGCUACACUGGAUUCUUUUUGAAUUUUGUUCUAGAAAUAGUAUAGCCGCACGGCUAUACUUAUUUUCCCCAAAUUUUUUUUAAGUAGGCUGUGACACGCGGCACCUAUGCGCUGGGGCAUCCCUUUUUUUAAUAUAUAAAUAGUACAGCCGUUCGGCUGUACUGUUACAAAAUAAAAUUCAAUUUGCCACGUGGCACAUAGUCCUUGGCCGGUGUAAAAAGAGUAUAGCCGCCCGGCUAUACCGGAUUCUUUUUUGAAUUUUCUUCUAGAAAUAGUAUAGCCGCACGGCUAUACUUAUUUUCCCCUAUUUUUUUUUAAUUAGGCUGUGACACGCGGCACCUAUGCGCUGGGGCAUCCUUUUUUUUUAAUACAUAAAUAGUAUAGCCGUGCGGCUGUACGUUUAAAAAAGAAAAUUUAAUCCCAUUUAGAAAAAAUUUAGUUUCUUUACUUUUCUUUUUUGACCUACUUCUUUUAUUUAAUAUAUGUAAUUGAGCAAUAUCUUAGCUUUUUUGAAUUACUUUAAUCACUACUUGUAUUUUAGUAUAUAUAUAUAUAUAUAUAUAUAUAUAUAUAACAAAUUCAAGUAAAAGUCCCCAAAAUAAUUCAUUUAUAUUUAUUAAGUCUUUUGAGAACUCGUUUGGGUGUCUUAAUUAAAUUUCUCCAUAGCCCAAGAGCCUUAUCUCUUAUUAUUAGGCCAUUGCUCGGGUAUCUAGUGUCCCUUUUUGAUUUUUUUCUUUUCCAAAGCUAUUACCCGCAUAAAUAUUUUUGCACUUUCACGUUUAAUAAUGUUUUAUACACGUAUUUCUCAUGUUUAGUGCACUUAAUUUUAACAAAAAUUUCAGUAAUACGCAAAAUUCACGUAUUAUACACAUAAUUCUGACAUAUUAUUGAAUAAAAAUAAUAUAUAUUUAAAAAAAAUCUCAGUUUUUCCAUAAUUGUUUAUUAAAAAUAGUAUAGCCGCGCGGCUGUCCUAUUUUUACUUUUUUUUUUGGGAUAAGAAAACCCCUUGUCGUUUACCGCCACGUGUCAGAAAAAAAUCAGGUAUAGCCGCGCGGCUAUACUAUUCACACCGCCGCAAAAAAAGAAAAAAAAAAUGAGGAGAUGCUGCGCAGAGCCCAGGCACCCACGUGUAAAAUUGUAUAGCCGUGCGGCUGUACUGUUUUACAAAUGAAUUCAAAAACCUGAGUAUAGCCGUCCGGCUAUACUGUUUUUAAUAUAAAAAAGGAGGACCCCAGACGCCACGUGUCAGAAAAAUCCAUUUGAAAAAAACACGGAGUAAAGCCGUGCGGCCGUACUAUUUUUCAUUUUUUAUUUAUUUAUAAAGUCGACCCUUUAUCGUUUACCGCCACGUGUCGAAAAAUAGUAUAGCCGCCGGGCUAUACUAUUUUUUAUAUGAAAAAAUCGUAUUAUAGCCGCCCGGCUAUACUAUUUAAAUACAUUGCAUUUAAAAAUUAUGGCCGCACAGCUACACUAUUUAAUAAAAAUAUGAAAAAUAAAAUAGGACUCUCCUAGUUGCUUUAGUUUGUACCAUAUAAAUAUUAAUUUGCUAGGUUCAACAUAUCCAAAGUAGAUAUUAAUCUUCCACUAUAUAAUAUUUUAAUAUAAUUUUACUAACAUAUGUUAUUCUUAUUCAAUAAUAUGUGAGAAUUAUUUGUAUCAUACGUGAAUUUUGUAAAAAGUACAUGUAUAGAACACAAAUGUGUUGUUGAAAAUUACGUAUGUACAUAUAUAUAGUUUUCUGGCUAUACUAUUUUUUAAUUAAUUAAACCACAGAGCCCAAGAGCCACAGAGCCCAAGGCCCAUCUUUGGUUUUUAAAUAUAUUAAUUAACCAUUGACCCAAGUAAUUAGACAUUUAACCGAAUGCCAUAUCCACAAGCCACUCAAUUGGGCCACUUGCAUAGUUAAUAUAACCUAUUCUAUUUCCAAGAAUAAGUCUUAUAAAGACCUCUAAGGAACUCUAGUGUUCCAAUGUGGGAGCUCAAACAUGUUUGCCAUACCUUAGAAAACCAACAAAACUAAAUUAUAUUAUUACACACAUUAUUUGUCGUAGAGAAUUGCAUGCUAAGUUGGAGUGUUCUUGGUAAUUGCUUCACUUUUCAAACAACACUUUACGUGAAGAAUACUACGACCUCUCUUACUACUAUGCCCAUAAAUAUUUAUUUGAAAUUGUUGUUCUUGUUGCCAAAGAAAUUGCAAAAUUACCAUCCUGCAUUUUUGUUAGAACAAGUAAAAACUAAUCUUUGCCUCUCAUAUUGUUUCAUAGUUAGUAAAAUACGGAUCGGAAAGAAUACGAAAACACUCCAUAAUUAAUAGCAAGUCUUAAGAGUUUCCAAAAAAUUGAUGAGUAUUCUUUGGGAACCUGUCGCAGAGCUGCAAAAAAUUGUCCAGCUUUCACUUAGAACCCUCUAUUGACCUCACAAAAUUUCCGAAUUAUCGAGGCGGACCUUAUAUGAACCACUGACGCUAUUUCAUAAUGGUUCUCGGACUGGAAGCAAACAAUUACAAAAUCUAUCUAAUUUCUUAUGAAAGAAACUUACUUUCGUGAGGAAAUUCAAAGAGUCAUACUUCAUAGUAAGAAAGAAAAGAAAAGCAAGCAAGCAACCAACCUCAGAUAGCUUCUGACGAUACUCAUCAGAGUCAACCGAGAGUCCAUGGAAAGGGAACUUGUAGUCAACAGCAGUGAAAGCAAUCUGCAACUUUCAGGAACAUAUUAUUAACAGUGAAAGAGAUAGAUGGAAAGGGAAGAAUUUAAAAAAAAAAAAUUAAAUAACAAAAAUGGAUAAUGAAAGGGGAGGAAACCGAAGGUGGAGAUUGCGCGAGAAGAUCGAAUGACGCCAUGGAUUGGUGCGCGUAAUUUGUCAGGAAAGUUGGGGAAGGAAUUGGCGGAAGAUGAGAGAAAAUUGGGGUUGAAGGCAUGAAAAGGUGAGGCCAGUGGCUGUGAUUAGGCAGAGUGCGGUUUUGGCCUUCCGCAUUGCCCGAGUCUAAUGUGUUUCUGUCUAGAACAUGAGAUAGCAAAAAGCUUGUUGACUUAGUUUAUGGUAGUUUCUUAAUGUUAGUGACCUCAGAGCAUUAGCUUUCAAAAAUUUAUGUCUGGAAUUAUGAACAUCAUGUCGAUUUCUUUUCUAAUAGCAACGCUAACGCAGGGAGAGGACAUUUUCGUGGCUUCUUUUCUCCCACUCAUUCCUCUCCAAUAUCAGAUGGUUUCUUUUCAUGGCUACGUCGAGAAGUUGAAGAGGAAAUGCGACUUAUUUAUUAUAGUUUUUAUUGUAUUAGUGUGUGCUAUGGAAAAUUCAAACUCUGCUCGAGCAGUACCAUUUCGUUGUAUUAUAUGUUGAUCUGUCAUUUUGUUUGGACUGGUCUAAUAUAGGUUCCUAUAACUUCCAUUUCCUAAAUAUCAACCUAUUAAUUUUGAAAUCUAUGUAUAAAACUCAAAUUCAAACUAAAAUUCCUCGAUAGAUACAAAAAGGUUAUAGUACUCCUACAUAUUUACAUUGUUUGCCACUAGACGUCAGAUAAGUCAACUUGACCGUUUUCAAGCAUGUCAUUAAGUCUCUCAUUUCUAAUUAAUAUUCCUCAUUUAAUGACUUUUUGUUUUGUUUUUUGGGCAUAUCAAUUACUCUUUUUUAUUUAUAUAUAUAUAUAUUUAAAACAAAAAACAAAGAAUGCUGAAACUUCUGAGUACUCCGAGAACAAACUUAAUAUGAAAAGCCAAUUAUUAAAAUAAAACAUGCUUUUGGAUGCCAAUUAUCAUUGAAAUCAUAACUUAGCCUGCAUGAAUAGUAUAGUCCCAUGUCGGCAGACGAUUUCAAGGCCAAAGUUGUCAAUUUAACAUCAAAACUUGCAUAUUCACAACAAUUAAUUUUCUGGAGAAGCUGUUCUUGAAGAGGACAUGUAAACCCGGACUUCAAAACCCCCCAAAAUUGGACCAAAUGCUCAAACAAUGGCCACCUAAUGCCAAUGCUGUCAUAUUCAGAAAAGAUGGUUUUGUUUGGGUUUGUUUAGGUUGCAGAAGGGAUUCGAAGAGAGACGAAGUUGGGGUUUGGAUUUGGGUAGAGAAGAAAACAGAGAGGAAGAGGAAGAACUGGGUUUUGAAGGCAAAGCUGUGGGUUUUGUUGGUUGUUCUUGAUCUUCUUCUUCAUGAGAAGAAGCGUAGUUAAAGAGAGAGAGAGAGAGAGAGAGAGAAGCCAAAAACUGACUAAAAGUGUUAUCUAGCCAAUAAUUGGGCAAUAAGUAUGUAUUUAUAGGUGAUAUUUGCAAAAUUUGUGGGAAGAGGUGGUAUUUCUAGUUAAAAUUAACAAAAUGGUGGCAUUUAGAGCUAUUUCCCUUCUCUUUUUUUCUCUUUUUUUUUCCCAACUUGAUAACUCAGUUUUUGGUAAAUUUAAAAGUAUCAGUUUAUCUUCUUAAGGGUACACUUAAUGCAACCCCUCCUACUCCUUCUCCCGCUCCAUCUCCAGAGCCAACAAUAAUUUCUCCAUAUCCUGCUUCUCCAGUUCACUCUCCAGCACCCUCACCUAACACAGUAAUCAUCUCCCACCAGCACUAUCCAAGGUACCUCCACAUCCUCGUCCAUGUCCAUACCGCGGUUCUGGAAUUCCUUCAAGCUCCUCACCAACUUCUCAUCCUAACCCUACUGUUCCUCCUACUUAUGCACCUAAUGGUUCCCCUUACUCGCCUUCUACGAGUCCCUCAUCUCAAUUGUCCCCCCAUGUGUUACCUGCACCUGUAGUGUCCAAGGCUCCCAGUCCAGGAAACAAGGGAAGUGCACAAGACUUGAUUUGUCCAUCACCUUCCCCAUCCUUGUCAUGUAAGUUACAAGCAGUAAGAUUUACCCUUUUUUUCUCCUGUUUUUUAGUUGGCAUGUAUGUUUGGUGACUUAAUGCAUUAUGUUGUUUGUUUUUUGGCUUUUUAUCAUAAAACGUCCCUGAGAUUUGCGAAACUAUCAGAUUGCAUCCUUAAAGUUUUUUUGUAUCAGUCAUGGUCCCUAACGUUAAUAUAGGUGCUCUUAAAUAAUCCUUUUGUCAAAAAAACUGUUAAAUAUAAAGAUAUAAUCGUCAAAUCAAUCUAAAUUUAUAUAAUAUAUAUAUUUUUUUUUUAAAUUUCCUUCCCCUCUCUCAUUCUUUCUUCUCCUUUUUUUCUUGUCUUCUUCUUCUUUCUCUUCGCCACAUUCCUUGAGGAUGGUUAUGAGACUCUCUCAAGUUUGCAGACACAAAGUUGUGGUGUCUGUUCACUUCAAUUCAACCCACCCUCAAGUCAAUCUCUCUAUCUCUCCCUCGCUCUGAAGUUCGACCCCCAAACCCAUCCGUCUCAUCCAAUCCUCAUACCUCCUCGCAAAACCCAACCCAACUAUCUUCUUCCCACCUUCGAAUCUUCGCCACCAAAAAUCAGCAAUUCAUUAUAGGGCUCGAAGGAAGCUCUGUUUCACUAUGUCGUCAUGGAGGACCAAAAGCAGAGUACCCAUCUUGAGAAUUGCACAGAAAGAGCCCAAGAGGCUGCUGAUUCUCAGAACCCAAUUGUAAUUCCGUCCGUACGUGUGGCUGAGAAGUUGUCCAGGAAGAAAUCGGAGAGGUUCACUUAUCUUGUUGCUGCGGUGAUGUCCAGCUUUGGUAUUACUUCCAUGGCUGUCAUGGCUGUUUAUUACAGAUUUUACUGGCAAAUGGAGGUAACCAAUUUCUCUCUGCUCCCUAAACCACAAAAGUUACGAACUUUAUCUUCUCUGAUUGAGUUUUUGAAUUGGGUGAUUUUGUUUUCUGUGUAGGGUGGGAAUGUGCCUUUGUCUGAAAUGUUGGGUACAUUUGCUCUAUCUGUUGGUGCUGCUGUAAGUUCACUGACAACAUCCCAAUUGGAGAAACUUAAUUAAAUUAAAUUGAUUUUGAAGUUUUUUUCUUUACACUGAAAACUACUAAAUCGAUUUGGAUUUUAUAUAUGUAUAUUUUAGGUGGGAAUGGAGUUUUGGGCAAGAUGGGCUCAUAAAGCUCUCUGGCACGCUUAUGGCAUAUGCACGAGGUUUGCUUCGAAUUUUGCUACUUUUUAUUAUCUCUUUGAUGCCAACUCCUCAAAAUUUUGUUUCUUUUCAUUCACUGGGAAACCAGCAAUGAAAGAAACAUGACAAGCUUGAGUUUUUAUGUUGUUUUUCCAUUUAGUUUCUUAGCAACCAAUCAGUGUUUGAUAUUUGAUAUGAACUUUAAUUGCAGUCUCACCACACAGACCCAGAGAAGGUCCAUUCGAGCUUAACGAUGGACUGAAACAGAGAAAGAAGAGAUAAGGAAUCUGGUGGAGAGAAAGAAGAAGAAAGAAAGAAAGAAACAGAGAGGGAAAUGAAAUAAAUAAAUAAAUAAUAUUUUUUUAUAAUUUUGGAUUGAUUUGACGAUUAUAUCCCUAGGUUUAACAGAUUUUUUAACAGAGGGAUUAUUUAAGAGCACCUAUAUUAACGUUAGGGACCAUGCGUGAUACAAAAAAACUUUAAGGAUGCAAUCUGAUAGUUUCGCAAACGUCAGGGAUGUUUUGUGAUAAAAAGCCUUGUUUUUUUAUGGUUUUGGCAGUGUUAGUUAUUCAUAUAGAAUGCAGGCUCAGAGUUAGAGUUUAUAAGAAAUUAUGAUUCUUGGGUAAUGGCCUAAUAGUAAUGGAUAUUGCUCUAAAUUACUCUUAGGGAAAGAAAAAAAAAAAAAAGUAUGGCCGCGCGGCUCUACUCUGUAAAUAUAUUAUUUUAAAGAAGUACAGCCGCGCGGCUAUACUAUUUAUUAUUAUUAUUAUUUUUUAAAAAGGAGCCGCCUAGACCGCCUAGCCCGCCUAGCCGGCCGAUUUUCUGUUCAAGUCUGGAUAUUUGGAUAUGGUUGUGCAGGCUAAAAUUAGAGGGUAUGGCUCCAAUUCUAAGAUGAUUACGUUAACUGGGUCUCUUUUCUUUGACUGAAUUCUUAAUUAUUUAUGAGUUUUCUGUCAAAUGUUUUUUGUGUUUAGAACUGUAAGUUUUGAUACGGAAAUGGGUUUUCUGCGCAAGCUUGAAUUUGUAGAUUUGGUUGUGUUGCCCCCUGUAAAUUUGGUUGAGUUGGUUGUGUUGGUUUAAAUUAGAGAGAACUCGUUAUAAAAAUCGCGAGACUCUCAAUUUUUGAGGGAGCGUCUCUUGUGAUGAUGAUGAUGAUAAAGGUUAUAUUGUAUGAGGGAUGUGGUUUAGUCUCAUAAAUCAUAAAGGGGAAUAUUCCUUUUGCUGCUCUUUUCUGCACUAAUACUUGUACCUGCAGGUUAGGCUUGAACUGAUGGGAAAGAAGGCAAAGAAUGCAACCAAUAUUUCUGGAAAUGAGGCUGGGAAAAUUUCCAAAGAGAUUUAGAAAGUGGAGAAGAGAAGGAUUGUUAAGAGUACUCUUUGCAAUGAAAGAAGUUCUCGGAGCUAUUGCAUGGUAGGAUUCCCUUGGACUUUCAAAUAUAUGAUAAUUCUUCCCCAGGUCUUGUCACUAGUUGGAUAUAACUUGCUUUCUAUUUCUGCACAGAUAAUCCUUGAUGUCCCAACAGUAGGAGGACGCUUGAUGCUUGUGGACAUGGCUGGCUCUGAAAAUAUUGAGCAAGCUGGCCAAAUUGUAUUUGAGGCAAAAAUGCAGGUAAUGUCUUGGUGGUGCUUAAUUUAUGCUGAUACUGCAUGCAGCACUUCCAUUGUCAUUGUAACAAAUGUUAAAUUAUGGUUAUAUUGAAUUCACAGACUGCAAAGAUCAACCAAGGAAACAUAGCUCUCAAAAGAGUGGUUGAAUCCAUAUUGCCAAUGGUGAUUCUCAUGUGCCUUUCAGAGACAGCAAACUGACCGUGCUUCUACAGGUAACUUUUAUUCACACUAAUGUCAGUUACUAGGGAUUAUAUUGUGCCCUGCCUUCUAACCUUGUAUGUGAAUGACAGUUCUCAUGUUCUUUUUGUGCAGGAUUCUUUCGAAGAUGAUAAAACAAAAAUUUUAAUGGUACUGUGUGCAAGCCCAGACCCAGAGGAAAUACACAAGACAAUCUCCACCCUUGAAUAUGGUGCGAAAGCAAAAUGUAUUGUCCGUGGUCCUCAUACGCUAAUCAAGGAUAAAAUUGGUACUGAAGAUUCAUAUGCUGUUAUUUUAGGAUCAAGGAUUGCUGCCAUGGAUAAAUUCAUCCCUAAACUGCAAAGGGAAAAUAAGCUCAAAGAGAAAGAGCGAAAUGAAGCACACAGAGAGUUACAGAAGAAAGAAGAGGCUGCUUCACUGAGAGCUAAACUUGAGCUUAUGGAAGGGAAAAUAUGCUGAUAGGGUAUGCCUAAGCACUGUUUUUGAGGAAGAAGAAAUGGAAGAAGAGGAAGGACUUAAGGAAAAUGUGGAAGCUGAAGAAGUGGAGAAAGAAGUUAUAGAGGAAAAGAGAGUGUGCAUGGUUGAUGGGUCUAGCCUCCAGAGUAAUUAUAAUAUGGGAUCCCUGACAUCUUUACCUAAGGAUUAUCAACAUACACCAACUGUGAAUCGGCCAAGCAGAAAUCCAGGGGAAGGAGAUGGCAAGGGGGGACCAAAUGAUAGGCUUGUCAGGAUCCGCAACAUAUUUACACUCUGUGGAAACUACAGAGAGCUCUCUCAACAUGUGACAACUCCAGCACCUACUGUUGCAUCAGUUAAAUCAGAAAAUGAGCAGAAACUGACAGAAGAGAUAAACAAAAGUCGAGUAUGUGAUGAGAUGGCAUUGGCUUCCAAGGAGAACUACAACCCUUCACUGAUGCGGAUACUGAAGUGUAUGUGAAAUGGGAGGCUUCAAAAGAGAAUCCAGGGAAGUUCAUUACAACACUUAAGGUUGUAAAAGAUGCAAGCCUUGCUGACCUGCGAAAGUUGAUUGCAAUUUAUCUUGGUGCAGACAAUCAAGCAUUCACUUUUCUCAUGCUUGGGGUAUAUCAUUUCUAAAUUCUCUAGCUUGUUGAUCUCUUCUUAAAAAAUGGAAAACUUUAUUAAGACAAUCAUGCUAACAUGGUUGUUUUUACUGACAAAAAAGUUGUUAUAAAUCAAGAAAUAUAGUGCAUCUCUGUGAUUAAGAAACCUUGAUUCAAACUUCUAUUCUGUAUAUAUGCAGGACCCCACUGGAGCUUCAAUAAAUCAAAUGGCCACCUUGCUAGCUUGAGACCACUGAAGGGAAUGCAAAGCCCAAGUCAGCUCCCCUUAAUUCCUCUCCCAUUGAAAUCACUGGAAAAUAGACUACCACUAAUUAAAAUAAUUUAAAAAGACUAAGAUUUUACUAAAUAACAUAAAUUAAAUUAAAGAAGGUCGCCAAAAAACAAAAGUAAAGAAACUAAUUUUAUACUUUUAAAUAAUUAAUUACUAUUUAUUAAAUCAGUAAAAUAUUUAAAUAUUCACUAAAGAAACAAUAAUUAAAAUGUAAUAACUAAUUAAAGUAAUUAAAAAAGAUUAACAUUUUAUUUAAUUACAUAAAUUAAAUUAAAGAAGGUUGCCAUAAAACAAAAGUAAAGAAACUAAUUUUAUACUUUUGAAGCGUAUAGCCGCUCGGCUAUAAGUUUAGAAUAUUCUUUUUAAAUAGUAUAGCCACGCGGCUAGACCUUUAAAAUAGAAUAUUUAUAGUGUAUAGCCGUGCGGCUAUACUCUUUUAAUAUAUCACCAACAAUAAAAAUAUGGAUUUAUGUGUAGCAAAAAUAUGGAUUUAUAGUGUCAUAUUUCCUUAAAUAUAUUCGAAUAUUUGAGUAAUUUAUGAAAUCAUUAAAAUAUUUAAACAUUAAAUAAAUAAUAAUAAUUAAAAUAUAAUUAUUAAUUAAAGUAAUUAAAAAAGGCUAAGAUCUUACUUAAUUACAUAUAUUAAACAAAAAUAGUUGGCAAAACACAAAAGUAAAGAAACUAAUUUCAAAUAAAAUAAAAAAACCUCUCCCGACGAAUGAUUUUGUCAGCAGAGACCUAAGCUACCAAACAUUUGUCGGAUGAGACUUCUCCUGAUGAAUGUUGGCCGGCAUAGGUCUAUGAUAUUACUAAUCAAAGUAAUUAAAAAAAACUAAGAUAUUACUUAAUAACAUAUUAUUAAACUAAAGAAGUUGGCAACCAAAAAAAAAAGUGAAAAAACUAAUCCAGCAAUAUCAACUAAAGAAAGUAAUGCCAUAUAUAAAUUUUGAUACAAUCACAAAACUAACCAGGCUUUGAAUCAAAUGUCACGGGGAUAUCAACUCAGGAAGUCCAAUUUGGGCUUGAAUUCCCAGGGAUAUAUAAUAGGAAUUCAUUAAAAGGAUUUCAUUAAUAAGAUUAAAAUGAAAUGUUUUCAAGUCACAAAUCAUUCCCCAAAUUCAAAACGGCGUCGUUUUAUUUUGGUAUUAUCAGAAAGAAAACCAGGGCGCAGUGGUCAUCUUCUUCACAAGAACUGCGCCUCAGUUGCAACUGCAAGAGAUUUUCCGGCAAGGGGAGGUGCAGCUGCACCUCCUUGCGCCUUAAUAGGUCCGCCAGUAACAGCUUUGGUUUGCUGCAAUGGGAACCAAGGGCAGCUUGUGUUUUGCAAACAGCAUGGCGUCGCUGUAAAAUAGAGAAGCUUCAAAAGUCUCCCAGGUUGGCUAAAGAGGGUAGUCUUUCUGCCACCGAUCACCAUGCUGUCUCAAAAACACAGCAUAAGUAGGUAUGGCUAAUAAACUGUUAAAGCAUUGAUGUAAUUCAGGCAGUGUUCGAAAAAUCGGCCUUGGCGGAAGGACACUGUUGACCAAACAUGUUAAGCUACGGCUUCAACAUUGUUAUCAAGCCAUUUUGUUUCAGAGUGCCUGCUCAUUUAACCAGCCAGUGUUUGAAAAAUCGGCCUAGACGGCGCUUAAGAGCUAGGCGGCUGCCCGUAGGGUUUUUAUGGUGGCUCUUUUAUUUCUCCUGUUUUGAUGAUUUUAGAUUCACAUGUUAAGCUAUGGCUUCAACAUUGUUAUCAAGGCAUUUUGUUUCAGAGUGCCAACUCAUUUAACCAGCUAGUGUUUGAAAAAUUGGCCUAGGCGGCCGCCUAGAGGGUGUUCAUGGUGGCUCUUUUAUUUAUCCUGUUUUGAUGAUUUUAGAUUCACAUGAUAAGCUACGGUUUCAACAUUGUUAUCAAGGCAUUUUGUUUCAGACUGCCUGCUUAUUUAACCAGUCAGUGUUCCAAAAAUCGGCCUAGACGGCACCUAGGCGCUGGGCGCCCGCCUAGGCGGCCUGGGCGUGUCCUGGUGUGUCUGGGCGAGUCUGACUCAGAAAAAUGAGAUGAUGAUGAUGCUAUGUGUGAGAGAGAGAGAUGAGGAUUGAAGAAGAAGAUAGGUCGUGGGUUAUGUAUGAGCGAGAGAGAGGAGACAGCUCGGGUUAGACUUAGGGUUUGAUAUUUGCUGUGUGUGUGUGUGUGUGUGUGGUUUUUGUUGUUCUUAGGAUGAGCUUUUGUUAUAUAGUUGUUGUUUUGUCUAGUUUUUAAAGUAAUUAACAUGAGAUAUGCUGUACAGAAUGUUAGCUUAUGCUUACUGAAAGUGUAUACUGCCUAGCUUGUUGCAUGUUUGCAGCUGUUUUUAAGUUGAUCACCUUUCAGCUUUCCUGCUGAAGGCAAUUUAUGGGUCCUAUCAAUAAAGAAAGAAAGCUAGUCUCAUGCCAGGGAUAUGUUUCUAUUUCUAGACAUCCUAAGAAAUAUUAAAUAUAAUUGAAGCAAAUCAAGGAGCAUUUUUAGAAUGCUGACUUGUUGGAUUUUGCCAUUGUUUUUAGAAUGAAUGUUGCUCUGAAAGUGCUGUCAUGGGCAUUUAUCUAUAAUCAAUUGGGCGGAUGUUCGCUGUUGCAGUUUCUGAGACCCUCCGGAAAGUUUGUAUUCUCUAACUUCUGGGUUCCAGUUCGUAUUCUCUAACUUCUGGGUUCCGUUUUUACCUUUUCGCAGUUUAUCUUAUAGCUCAAUUUAAUCAAAGAUGUCUGCAUGCUAGAAACAUGAUAAUUGUAUGUAAUAUGCAUAGGUGAAUCUUGUGACCAGGCCUGGCAGAGAACUCCUAUUUACUGUUGUCUCACAGGACGAAAAAUACAAAGCCAAGUCACAAGCUUCCAAAUUCUUUUUUACAUAGAAAAUCAAAUGCAUUUGGUUUUUUUAUAAAAUAAGUUCAUCUACGAAACUGUGUCACUUGGUGCUUGCUGCUGUUGGUGUCUUAGUUUCCUCUAUACGAGAAAGUGCAUGUGUUCAACUUUAAGUUCCUCUAUACCCAACUAUUUGAAACGCUGUUUCACUAAUUACAUGAUACUGCAGGUUUGCAUUGAUGUAUUUGUUCAAAGACUUGGAGAUAUGCUUCAGCAGGAAUGUACAAGCUAGCUUUCAGCACUACUAGUACUGUUAAUGGGAGAGCGUCAAUUGUGUCUCACUACUACAAAAAAGCAAAAAGACGACGGUAAAUCACCGUCGUGUAUUUGGUUUUUCAAUGGUCGUGGAAUCCACCGUCAUCUUUUCCCUCAUAAACCACGACGCUAAAUAACCGUCGUUGUUAAACAAUACAACGUCAUCAAAAAAUACAAAACGACGUCUUUGUACUGCAAAAAGAUCUAAAAAAAGCAAUCGAGGAUGAUAAUAGACGACCAAUUCUCUAAAAACACCGUCGUUAAAAAGGGAAAAUAUGACACAUAUUAAGAGAACAAAGCCGCAAGAUAGACAUACAACGACGACAAUAAAAAUACGCCGACGUUAAAUAUAAUUUUCACGACAAUAAAAAAUAUGACGUCUUUAAAUACAUUAGAAGACGACGUUAUUGAUACCUACUACGUCGCACAUAUAAACACAACCGUCGUACAAUUAAUUUUCCACUUCGAUUUUUCGAUAAAAGAUGACGUGGAAAUAGUUGUCAGUGUCAUUAUUUACGACGUAUGUGUUUCUAUAGUAGACGUUGAAAAACUAAACAACGUCAGUUACAAAUAUAUGAGAGUCGUAUUAAAAAAUUUAUACGUCCUAUUUUCAGAAACAAACAACGACCAUAAAUAUUAGACGUUGUUAAAUACAACAACGUCGGAAAACAAUAAAAACAGACGUGUUUAGUCUGCUAAAGUUCUACAACGUCUCUUAUUUACAAAAAACCGUCGUGAAAUAAAUUUUCCACUUCGAUUUUUCUAAAAAAGAUGACGUGGAAAUAGUUGUCAGUGUCAUUAUUUACGACGUAUACAUUUAUAUAGUCGACGUUGUAUUUAUAUGUAUUCAUUACUCACGACGCACUUAAUAAUAUAGACGACGUUGAACGUCUAAACAACGUCGGUUCCAAAUAAAUGAGAGCCGUAUUACAGAACAUAUAGACGGCGUAGAUUAUGAUGGGAGCCGUAUUACAAAUAACGUCGUUUAAUUGUUAUUAGACGGCGGUUAUAAUGAAUUUCCGUCGGAAUUAAUUUCGUUCCUCUUCGUUUAUAAAAGACACUUGCGACGUGGAACAACUGUAUGAUGACGUCGUAUUUUUUAACGUUCANNNNNNNNNNNNNNNNNNNNNNNNNNNNNNNNNNNNNNNNNNNNNNNNNNNNNNNNNNNNNNNNNNNNNNNNNNNNNNNNNNNNNNNNNNNNNNNNNNNNNNNNNNNNNNNNNNNNNNNNNNNNNNNNNNNNNNNNNNNNNNNNNNNNNNNNNNNNNNNNNNNNNNNNNNNNNNNNNNNNNNNNNNNNNNNNNNNNNNNNNNNNNNNNNNNNNNNNNNNNNNNNNNNNNNNNNNNNNNNNNNNNNNNNNNNNNNNNNNNNNNNNNNNNNNNNNNNNNNNNNNNNNNNNNNNNNNNNNNNNNNNNNNNNNNNNNNNNNNNNNNNNNNNNNNNNNNNNNNNNNNNNNNNNNNNNNNNNNNNNNNNNNNNNNNNNNNNNNNNNNNNNNNNNNNNNNNNNNNNNNNNNNNNNNNNNNNNNNNNNNNNNNNNNNNNNNNNNNNNNNNNNNNNNNNNNNNNNNNNNNNNNNNNNNNNNNNNNNNNNNNNNNNNNNNNNNNNNNNNNNNNNNNNNNNNNNNNNNNNNNNNNNNNNNNNNNNNNNNNNNNNNNNNNNNNNNNNNNNNNNNNNNNNNNNNNNNNNNNNNNNNNNNNNNNNNNNNNNNNNNNNNNNNNNNNNNNNNNNNNNNNNNNNNNNNNNNNNNNNNNNNNNNNNNNNNNNNNNNNNNNNNNNNNNNNNNNNNNNNNNNNNNNNNNNNNNNNNNNNNNNNNNNNNNNNNNNNNNNNNNNNNNNNNNNNNNNNNNNNNNNNNNNNNNNNNNNNNNNNNNNNNNNNNNNNNNNNNNNNNNNNNNNNNNNNNNNNNNNNNNNNNNNNNNNNNNNNNNNNNNNNNNNNNNNNNNNNNNNNNNNNNNNNNNNNNNNNNNNNNNNNNNNNNNNNNNNNNNNNNNNNNNNNNNNNNNNNNNNNNNNNNNNNNNNNNNNNNNNNNNNNNNNNNNNNNNNNNNNNNNNNNNNNNNNNNNNNNNNNNNNNNNNNNNNNNNNNNNNNNNNNNNNNNNNNNNNNNNNNNNNNNNNNNNNNNNNNNNNNNNNNNNNNNNNNNNNNNNNNNNNNNNNNNNNNNNNNNNNNNNNNNNNNNNNNNNNNNNNNNNNNNNNNNNNNNNNNNNNNNNNNNNNNNNNNNNNNNNNNNNNNNNNNNNNNNNNNNNNNNNNNNNNNNNNNNNNNNNNNNNNNNNNNNNNNNNNNNNNNNNNNNNNNNNNNNNNNNNNNNNNNNNNNNNNNNNNNNNNNNNNNNNNNNNNNNNNNNNNNNNNNNNNNNNNNNNNNNNNNNNNNNNNNNNNNNNNNNNNNNNNNNNNNNNNNNNNNNNNNNNNNNNNNNNNNNNNNNNNNNNNNNNNNNNNNNNNNNNNNNNNNNNNNNNNNNNNNNNNNNNNNNNNNNNNNNNNNNNNNNNNNNNNNNNNNNNNNNNNNNNNNNNNNNNNNNNNNNNNNNNNNNNNNNNNNNNNNNNNNNNNNNNNNNNNNNNNNNNNNNNNNNNNNNNNNNNNNNNNNNNNNNNNNNNNNNNNNNNNNNNNNNNNNNNNNNNNNNNNNNNNNNNNNNNNNNNNNNNNNNNNNNNNNNNNNNNNNNNNNNNNNNNNNNNNNNNNNNNNNNNNNNNNNNNNNNNNNNNNNNNNNNNNNNNNNNNNNNNNNNNNNNNNNNNNNNNNNNNNNNNNNNNNNNNNNNNNNNNNNNNNNNNNNNNNNNNNNNNNNNNNNNNNNNNNNNNNNNNNNNNNNNNNNNNNNNNNNNNNNNNNNNNNNNNNNNNNNNNNNNNNNNNNNNNNNNNNNNNNNNNNNNNNNNNNNNNNNNNNNNNNNNNNNNNNNNNNNNNNNNNNNNNNNNNNNNNNNNNNNNNNNNNNNNNNNNNNNNNNNNNNNNNNNNNNNNNNNNNNNNNNNNNNNNNNNNNNNNNNNNNNNNNNNNNNNNNNNNNNNNNNNNNNNNNNNNNNNNNNNNNNNNNNNNNNNNNNNNNNNNNNNNNNNNNNNNNNNNNNNNNNNNNNNNNNNNNNNNNNNNNNNNNNNNNNNNNNNNNNNNNNNNNNNNNNNNNNNNNNNNNNNNNNNNNNNNNNNNNNNNNNNNNNNNNNNNNNNNNNNNNNNNNNNNNNNNNNNNNNNNNNNNNNNNNNNNNNNNNNNNNNNNNNNNNNNNNNNNNNNNNNNNNNNNNNNNNNNNNNNNNNNNNNNNNNNNNNNNNNNNNNNNNNNNNNNNNNNNNNNNNNNNNNNNNNNNNNNNNNNNNNNNNNNNNNNNNNNNNNNNNNNNNNNNNNNNNNNNNNNNNNNNNNNNNNNNNNNNNNNNNNNNNNNNNNNNNNNNNNNNNNNNNNNNNNNNNNNNNNNNNNNNNNNNNNNNNNNNNNNNNNNNNNNNNNNNNNNNNNNNNNNNNNNNNNNNNNNNNNNNNNNNNNNNNNNNNNNNNNNNNNNNNNNNNNNNNNNNNNNNNNNNNNNNNNNNNNNNNNNNNNNNNNNNNNNNNNNNNNNNNNNNNNNNNNNNNNNNNNNNNNNNNNNNNNNNNNNNNNNNNNNNNNNNNNNNNNNNNNNNNNNNNNNNNNNNNNNNNNNNNNNNNNNNNNNNNNNNNNNNNNNNNNNNNNNNNNNNNNNNNNNNNNNNNNNNNNNNNNNNAGAUGCAUCUUUGCCUUCCUUCCACUUGAGAUACCACAGUAGGACAAUUAGUUGAAUCCUCAUACUCUUCCUAUACAAGAUGCAAUCAUUGGGGCAUGCGUGCAUUUUCUCAUAACUCAGCCCCAAUGCACACAAAGUCUUUUUAGCCUCAUACAUGGAGGUUGGUAUUGUAUUUCCUUCUGGAAGCAAAUCGCCUUGAAGUAUCAAUAAUUCUGUAAAACAGACAUCACUCAUCCCAUGUUUUGCCUUCAAAUUAUACAACUUCACUAAUGCCGAUAACUUCGUGUACUUUCUACAACCAGGGUACACUGGUUGAUCUCCAUCCCCAAUCACAUUGGCAAACUCAUACGGAUCCGAACCAAAAUCACCAAAAUCAUUAUCAUCCAUAUCAAUUUCUUCAGACACAAAACUGUACCUACUAUGGCCAUCAUCUUCUUCAACAUUUCUGCUAGCAUUAGUAGUUGCUUCCCAAGGUUCUCCGUGAAAUGUCCAAUUCUUAUAGCUUUGGUCAAUUCCAUUAAAGUAUAAGUGAUCCCUUAUAAUUCCAACCCCAAACAACUUCAAAUUAACACAUUUAACACAUGGACAACGGAUAUGUGUUGUAGUUAGAAGAUUUUCUACAGCAAAGUUCAAAAAUGCUUCCACCCCAAACUCAUAUGCCUUCGAUCUUCUAUCCGAGUGCAUCCAUGACUUAUCCAUCUCCGACACUAUAACCUAUUAUCUAUAAUAAAGUGAAAAUACAAGCAAUGACCAUCACUAUAGCAGAUUAUACAAUGAUCUAAUCGCAAGUAAUAAACAACAGAGACGACGGGUUUUAAUCAAAAACAGACGUAUUUGGCAUAUAUAGACGACGGAUUUUCAACAGACGUCGUCUAUUAUACGUAAUACAAACGACGGUUUAUGAAAAAACCGUCGUGUAUAAGUAAUACAACGACGGUAGUUUAAAAACACCGUCGUGUAAUCGUCGUCGUACGCCUUAAAAUUCGUCGUGUCUCAGUUUAUUUUCAAGAACACAAAACCCAUUAAGAACACAACAUAUAUAUGAAACCAAGCAAGAAACCAACAUAUACAUGAAACCAAGCAUGAAAACAAUAAAUCCAUUCCCAAUUCAACAUAACAUAGGGUGAUUAAAAGAUACGACAAAAUUAAAUCCAUUCCCAAUUCAACAUAACAGAUAAUGUAAUCCAUGAACCCAUUAAACAGAAAAUCCAUGAACCCAUACCUAUAAGCAUUGGUGCACUUUGCACCUUCUCCAGAGCGGAAAAUGACAAGAUCAAAUAAAGGUGUCCUUUUGCUGGAAAUCAUUUGGAAGUUGGUGAUGUGUCUUUUUGUGUUGAUUUCCAGCAAAAGUACACCUUUAUUUGAUCUUGUCAUGAACCCAUUAAACAGAAAAUCCAUGAACCCAUACCUAUUUCCAGCAAAAGUACACCUUUAUUUGAUCUUGUCAUGAACCCCUUUAACAAAACAACCUAAUAUCAUUCAAUGAAUUUACAAGGGGAAGAUAGGGUUUGUACUUACAGGUUGGACGAGCUCACAGAUUCGACGAGCCUGGAGAGUGCAACUUUUAAUUAGAGCAGAAGUGAGAGAGCGAAAUGUUAUGUCGCGUGAAAUCUGAAAUUUUAGGUUUCAGGGAUCAAAGUAUAAGAAUAAGAGCCAAAUCUAAAAAAAUUUAGGUCGCGCGAAAAUUUUUAGAGCGCGCGCGUUAUAAAACGUCGAAAGAAAAACCAAGGCGAAAGUUCUACAAGUACCGACGUAAAUUUAAUAUUCCACGACGGAAACUUCAUUUUUCGGAUUAAGAACGUAAGGCCGUUCAUUUUUCGGAUUAAUUUUAAAUUUAUUUUGAAUUUUUUAUAUAACGACGACUGAAAAACCACGUCGGUGUUAAGAAAUUAAAGACGUUGUAAAUUAUAUAAACCGACUUACAUAUUAAAAUAACGUCGUUUAAAGCGUAAACCAUGUCGUAUGUUUUACUGUACGACGUAAAAUAUGUAUUCCACGACCCAACCACCGUCGUUAAAAAUUAAUACACUAAACCCAUAAAAUUAAAUUAUACAAUUUAAAAAAUUAAGUUUAUAAAAGGUUUUAUGGUUUUAAAGCCUAACAUAUACCCUAGACUACCCAAAAAUUAUACUUUAAAAAUAAACCCCAAUAAAUAACAACCCUAAUCUCUAAACCCUAGACUCUAAACCCUAAACCAUAAAACUAGAAGUGAUUUUAUGACUCAUCAAAACAAUUUUGUUUUGGAUGGUCAUUUUAAAUUUUUGUUAUUCAAAAUGAAUUUUUUCAAGGUUUAUGUGGAAGAAAAUAUAUCAAUGACUUCAUAGGAGUUGACUUUUCAAUUUUCUGAUUUAUUUUAUAUUUAUUUUGAAUAUUUUGAUAUAAAAAUAAUAAAAUAUUCUUACCAUACAACAAACCACGUCGGUGUUAAAUAAAUUGUAGACGUUGUAAAUUGUAAUAGACUACUAAGUCGUUAAAAUGACGUCGUUAAAAUGAGAAACCAUGGCGGCUAUUUAACUAUACGACGUAAAAUAUAUAUUUUACGACUUAACCGCAGUCGUUACAUAAACGUCGUCGAUUAUACCCUGAACCCUUAAGAAAUUGAAGAUAUUGUAAACCAUUAACGACUCAAUUGUUCAAAGAACGUCGUCUAACUAUUUUUUUACGUCGUAUUUGUUUAAAACACGCAACAACAAAAUACGACGGUUAUUGACUUUAUUAGGUCGUUGGAAAAGUAUUACACGUCGGUUAAGCAAUUUGUAUGUUUGUUUUUUUUUUAAUUUAAGAAAACCUCAACAAAUUUUUACAUUACAUAUUAUAGAGAAAAUUGGUACAUUAUACAUAAAUAUCAAGUGUUCAAUAAUUGCCCUGUUUAAUAAUUUGGAAAACAAACUCUGCCCAUUCAUUCCGGACUUCAUCAAUGGCUUCUUGGGGGUAUGAAGCUUCCUGGUUUCCCUUGGCAUACUGCAUAAACAAUGACUAUUAGGGUUUAUAAAUAAAAAGAAAUUCAAUCACAGACGACGAUAUUUUUCAUAACCGACGUAGUAUAUCCAUUCAACGACGUUAAUUUUACACGACCGUCGUUGAUAAUACAAAAAACGACGUGAAAUGUAUGAAGGUAAUUUCUUCUUACCUUAUUCUCAAACCCCAAGGAAGGAUCCAUGAUGAUGUCCCUCAUGAAGCGCAUUACAUAAUACCCGCAUUCGACAUUGCUGGGUUGCUUUGGUGUGCCUGAGAGAGUUUUCCAAAUUACAUUUUUACGUCCUGCUCGGGCUAUGUGGGUAUUAUAUAUUUUUAAAGCACUGUUCACGAUGUUUUUGGCCUCUUCAUCGACCACACGAUUUCCUGGCAGAGGAUCCAGAAAAUAGACGGUUUCUCUCUUUGCUCUUACAAUCAGCAAAAUCCAAUGACGGCUGCACAAAAUUAAUAUAAAAACGACGGUUAUUUACAAAAACGACGUAUUAUAGUAUUUCACACGACGAAGUAAAGUAGCUAACGACGACAUUAUAUAUUUAUCACGACGAUAAAUAAAUACCGACGUGGUUAGUAGUUUCAAACGACUAAAUAAAAUAAAACACCGACGUGGUUAGUUUAUAAGCUGUCAUUUAUUGAAAAUCAUAAAAACAAAAUCCUAAGGAGACUAACCCUGGAUUGUAAGGCAUCAUGAAAAUCUGUUCACCGUCUGUCUUCUGAAGUCGAGCUGCUACGAGUCGUGAUCUUUCAGUUAUUGUGCCAGAGUUGGCACUAACUGUAGCAGGGUCGAUAAAGCCAACCAUACUGCACAUAUUGGCUUUUUUCAAAACAUCGUGUAAGUACCUAAACAAAUAAAAUAAUAUAAACAAGUCAGCACACAAAACACGACGGUUAUGUAUAAAAAAACGACGUAUUAUAAUAUUUCACACGACGUACUGAAAUAGAUGAGGACGUUAUAAUAUAUUUAUCACGACGGUUGUUAGUUAAGACGACGUGGUUAGUUAGUUAAGACGACGCAAUAUAUAAACCAACGAGUUAUUAUUUUAGAAGUACAAACCUCAUAUAUACAGCCAAUACAGUAGCUCCAAUUUCUUCCAUGCCUGCAAAUUGUGUAAUAUCUUCAGGCAGGAGGAAGGUAUCGCGCUCACCACCAAACACCUCCUUAUCAAUUGUAAAUUGGACUGUCUUAUCCUCAAGCAGGAGUGUCGUUUCCACAAAACGACAAAGGGUUUUUAAAGAAGAUGGCGCCUCCAUUUUUGAAUAAGCACCAACUUCAAUAACCUGUUUAAAGAAAUAAAAAAAAUGACGUGGUAAUUCAAUAAAGACGACGGUUUAAGUAAUAAAACGUCGUCUUAAAAGUAUUUAAACGACGGUGAAAAAACUGUCGUGGUAAUUCAAUAAAGACGACGGUUUUAUGAAUAAAGCGUCGUCUGAAACCAUUUAAACGACGGUGCAAAAACCGUCGUUUAAAUAUUUUAUUACGUCUUAAAAAAAUUCCGCCGUCUAAGUUUUAAACAAACGACGGAUUAAAUAAAAAUAUCGACGUCUGAAAUUUUGAAAAACAAAUAAAAAAGGCAAAGUUAUGUGAACAUACCUUGUCGUCAUGCUUUUCUUCAUCUUCUUUCUCCUUUUCUUCUUCCUUCUCUUCAUCUCUUUUUUCUUCUUCCUUCUCUUCAUCUGGCUGAUGUUUCCCCAUUUUGGCAGUAUCAUCCUCCAAAUGUAGGGAUCUCACAUCACCUCCAGAGCAGCUAGCUUUGUCAGACAUUGGAUUUUUGGGGCUUUGGCUAAUUCUUGGUUUAAGCAUGCUUGGAUCAAAAUUGGGAAUUAAUUGGGAAAGCUGACUCAGGAAAUGCUCCCUCUCAGCCUCUACCAAUUGUUUUGUCCUAGCCUCCAUCCUUAAGGCCUCUUCCCUUGCCUUAGCCUCCAUCUUUUUAGUCUCUUCUUGAAGGAGAACUCUUAAACUGUCCUUCAAACGGUCGUCAAAGCUCACCCUCUGUGGUUUGGGCAAAUUGAAAUAUUGCCUUGGGGAAACACCAGCACCAACUCCCCUCAGUCUGCCUGGAUGCUCGGGGCCCAAAGCCAUGGUCAGCACAUCAUUGCUGCCAUCUACUCUGACUUUGCCUUCCGAGACUUGUUUCUGCAAUUCAUCCUAAAAAAAGAUAAACAAAAAAACACACGACGGUUAUUUAUGUACAAACGACGUAUUAUAUAAUUUCACACGACGCAAUAACGUAUAAACCGACGUUAUUAUAACUUAUCACGACGGUAGUUAUACCGACGUGGUUAUUUAUUUAAAACGACGAAAUGAAUAAACAACCGACGUCUUAUGCUAUAAUUAAAGAUAACAGAGUAGUGAUUCCUAUUUAGACCGUUAACGACGUUUUUAAAAAAUUUUCGACGUGGUAAUAUCAUUCACACGACGCGAAAAUGAACCACCGACGUCUUAUGCUGUAAUUACAGAAAACAUAGUAGUGAUUCCUAUUUAGACCUUUAACGACGUUUUUAAAAACUUUUCGACGUGGUAAUAUCAUUCACACGACGAAAAAUAUAACAUACGACGUAAUAAGAAUAAUUCACAGUUUAAUAAAAAUUUAAAACAGAGUGAUAGUAGGCUUACAAUUAAUUUUGCUUUCUCUGCCACCUUUGGAUCAGGGAUGUUACCAUGUUUGUCCUGUCUAGCUCUCUUCCAUAAGGUAGAUCGAUCAAUUUCUACCCCAGGCAUGGUUUCCUCCAAUUGAUCCUCCAAUCCAGCAUAUCCUUUUCGAGACAAUCGAUGAUUGUACUCGAGUUUCUCCCUAAUCUGUGCAUGUUGAGAAUGCACAGACUCAAAAUCUUUGGAUAGCCUUGAAGCUACAAAGGCAUCCCAUUGUGCUUUCUCUAUGAAUUUAUAUGUUUCAGGGGGUUGGCUUAAUUUCUCCCUGUCAUUGGUGUAUGGAAGGAUAUAAUGCCUCGUUAGUGUAGACUUGAAAUCCUUCCAUUUCUUGGAAGCAGAAGCUAAAACAGAGGUCUUGCCCCCUUGGCCUACGACAAAAGCCAUGUCAACUGCUUCCCAAAUCUGCUCCUUUAUAUCCUUGGGGAUUUGGGACCAUUUCUUGUCCACAAGUGGGAUCCUGGAGCGUGCCAACACACCAAUAUACGACUGCAUCUCAAUAUGUGCUUGGCCAACACCUUUCCCCCUUUUAUUGUACUCAACAAUUGGCCUCAGUUUCUGAAGCUUUCUCUUCACAACACGAGGCAUUGUGCUCAUACCUCGACCAGUCUUUGAAUCAUCUGAGAUUGUUGUCUGGCUGGUUUGUUCUGUCUCAGCAGAUGAUGAAGCAAACUUCAUCUUCUUCGAAGACUUCAUCUCCUUCGAAGACUUAUCUUGAGGAGCUACCAUUCCAAGCUUCUUGGAGCCAGAAUCCUUAGUUUGUUGUUGAGAAACCAUUUUAACAGACAAAACUGCAAGUGAAAAUAUUUCAGGAAAACAUUAAGAACACAAACGACGGUAUUAAAAAAAUACGACGUAUGAUAUGAUUUUAGACGACGCAAUGAAAUAAUCUCAGACGUAAUAAAUGUUUAAAACCAUUAUUUAUAUAACGUCGUGGUAUAUAUGUUCACACGACGUCAAUAGUAAUACACCGUCGUGGUAAACUAUUAUUUAUAUAACGUCGUGGUAUUUAUGUUCAUACGACGUCAAUAGUAAUACACCGUCGUGGUAUUAACAUUCACACGACGUAAAACAAUAAGAUAUUUUGUCGUCUAUAUUAGAUACCAACCCUAGUUUCUUUUUCUUUAUAUUUUAUCAAAUAAGGGAAAAACAAAAACCAUUGUUCAGCGAAAUCAAACCUGCAAUUAAACAAGCAUAUAAAAAAAGACUAUUAUUUUAAAAACAACUUUGUCAAUUUUCAGACGACGCUAGAACAACUGACGAACCGUCGUGGUCUACCGUCGUCUUAUUUAGUUGAUGUAGUUGUCUUCAAAGUUGGAAACUUUCUCUCUUUGUCUGUAUAUUUUAUCAAACUUGGAAAGAAGUAAAAUGAUUUUGGCCAGAAAAAAGGUAAAAAGAUUUUUCAAACAAAAAACGUAUGAGCAUGCAAAACAGUAACCAAAAUAGUGAAAAUGAAAGCUUACCUUUUGCGUGCAAUGAAAGCAAGAGGAAGAUGAUCGAUGUUUAAGUUCAGAGACGACGAAGAAGACGAGAGGAAGACGAUGAGAAACUCUGACAAUGCUCUGACAAGGAAAAAAGACGAAAAGGUUUCUCUGGGAGAUUGAAAUUUUUAAUCGGGUUUGGAAACAGUGCAUGUGUAAGUCGAAAAGUUGCUUACAUAUAAAACCAUUUCAAAAAAAUAAUACGGCGGUUACAUUUAACUACGUCGUUUUUAACUAAAACGACGCAAUAUUUUUCAUUCGACGUGGAAUCAUUUCAUUUAACGUCGUUAGGUUUAAUAUAACUGACGUGGAUUUUAAUUUUUAAAUUAUGAAUAGAAUUUUUUUUCCCGUGACCUUUCAGUUUAUUUUUCAAUUACAGUGCGUUAUAAAUAGAGUUUUUUUUCCGGAGGAAAUUUAAAACGAAGGAAAUUAAUAUUCUGCAAUAUGUAAAGUUUCUUUUUUGGAUGACAGAUUUAAAUAAAAUAAGAAUAUAAAAACAACAAAUGUGUAAGUCAAGUAGACGAAAAGUUGCUUACAUAUAAAACCAUUUCAAAAAAAUAAUAUGGCGGUUACAUAUAACUACGACGUAUAAAUUACAAAAUACGACGGUACAUUUAACUUCGGACGUGGUAAAUAAAUACGACAGUAGUUUGUAGGUACCGUCGUAGUAAACUCAAAAAUUAAAGUACAUAAGUAAUAACUCGCGUCAUGGUAUAUUAUUUAACACGUCGUUUUUAUUAAUUUACCGACGUGGAUUUCUGUAAUAUACGUCGAUCAUACCGACGUUGAUUUUACAAUUUAAACGGCGGUUUUUUUGUAAGGACCGCCGUUGGUUUUAAAAAUUUAUUCUAUAAAUUUGUCGCUUUCAUUCAUUUUCGGUUUACAUUUAAGGUUCCAAGUUCUUCCUCUCUCAGUCUCUCAUGUCUCAAAGAUAAUAAUUUGGAUGUUUUCUCAAAGAGAAAUUGAGCUUACUCGCAUCAAAUAUAUGUCCACAAGAAGAAGCUUGUCAACUAGCCUUCUCACUUCCUUGAUCAAGCCUGAUAGGACACUUAGUGCUUCUGAAUACUCCUUGCUUUCCAUCAAAAGAGAUGCAAGCCUGGCCUCCACUCGCUGUCGAAGGAAAGUUCGCUUCUCAGGGAAAUCUGAAGAUCAGAUGUGCCUGAUCCUCUGCUUGAUUUUCUUGCCUAAGAAGAUCCGUCGGAUUUAUUGUGAUAGCCUCUUCCUUUAUCCGUAGAGCUUCAGAAGAAGAAGAUGGGUUUCAAGAAUGCGAUAAAGAAUAGAAAUGGCUUCAGAUGGCCUCUAAAGCAUGAGCAAUUGAAUCAGUAGUUUCUGGGAGAUAUGAUGAAGACAUUGUCAAUGCUUUGAACUACACAAGUCCUGCAGAAAGAUAUGCUAAAGAAACUGAAACAACGGCGGUUUUCUGUUCUACCGUCGUCUUUUCUCGUCGUCUAUAUUAAGUUACGAUGGCGGUAGAUUUAUAAUUACCGACGUAGAUUAUUUUGUUAAACGUCGUUAAGUGUACUACAACCGACGUGGAUUUUAAUUUUAAAUUAUAAAUGGAGUUUUUUUUCCCGUAUUCUUUCAGUUUUAGUUUUCAAUUCCAAAGCGUGAUAAAUAGAUUUUUCUUUCCCGAGGAAAUUUAAAAUGAGGGAAAUUAAUGUUCUAGAAUUUGUAAACUAACACGACGCAAUAUUUGCAAAUCUGUGUCAUCUGUUAAGAUUAUGAUGUGGAACAGAGUUCCAUCUGGUAAGAUUUCGUAACCCUUGGGAUCUCAGACAAAACUGAUUAUGUCGGCGGUGUUCUAUAUAAACCGUCGUGGUUAUUUCAAUUCUUGUCAUUAAGUAGAUCUACCGACGUAGGAUAAGAAAAUCAAAGAAAAAAAUUGUUAACAAAAAUUCUUAUUAAGACGACCGUUAAAAUUAAAGGUACGACGUAUAAAAUGAAUAAAUACGACGAUAAAUUUUAUUGUACGAUUUAAAGAUAACGUAGUAGAACUAUACGAGAAUGACGUCGAUAUAUUUAUAUUUUCCGUCGUUGUAAAUUAAUUUAAUACGGCGAUAUUUUGUAUUUUAAAGCCGUGGAUUUGUUUGUAAUUAUACGGCGUCUUAUACGAAAACCUCGUCGUCUUAUUUUAUGAGUAAAAACGGCAGUUUUUAUUGAAAUCGUCGUCUUUACUUUCUACGUCGGUCGAUUCAUAACUUCUGCCGUUCUUUGUUGGCAUUGAUUUUACACUGCGGAAAUCUGUUUCAAAUAGACGUCGGUUGUUUAAUUAUGUACGUCGUUGUUUUUGAACAGCCAUUUGAAACUCCAUUUUUUAGUUGUCUAAGGUUGUAUUACACGACGGUGUUUUUAGAACCGUCGUCUUUUUAUAAACCACGACGGUUUUCACUUAGACCGUCGUUGUUUUCUGGUCGUCUUUUUCACUUUUUGUAGUAGUGUCUCUUUACUGCCUGUACCUUUAUGGGAGAGCAUCACAUGUUUAGCUGUUUGUAUACUGUAAAGAUGAAUCAUUCAUGAGCUUUUGAACAAGUACCAUUACAAGAAGUUGUGUUAGCUCUUUUGUUAGACAUUACAGCAAGGGCAGCUUGCCAGUCAGUCUUUCGUACACGAUGUCAUACGAAACGCAAGUGCUUUUUAGCAAACGCAUGAGUAAAUUAACUAAAUAUUAAUGUUUGUAUCUACUGCGUUUAUCCAUGUAAGCAUUGAUGAUUAAUUGGAAAGGAAUUGCACUUUACAGAUUCAUUAGUAAUAUCAGAUUUGCCAUCUCAAUGCCACAGUCAGGUUUGAGCAUUUAAAGAGUAUAGCCAUGCGGCUAUAUACUUUCUAAAUACAUUGGAAUUUUUUAAAUGUAUAGCUGGGUGGUUAUACUCUUUAAGUAUUAUACCCAUAAUAGGUGAAUUACAAGUUAUAUUAUUGCAUAAUAGGAACUUAUAUAAAAAUGCAUUUAUAAAAGUUGGGUAUAUUAUUUGAACAAUAAGUAAAUUGAUACUAGGUACAUUAUUUUUAGUAAAAGAAGUAAUAGGUACGUUAUUUUUUAAACUUAUAUUUAUAAAAUAAUAAAAUAAUAGAUAAUUAAUCACAUAUACUUCAUAAAUUAAUAAAUUAAAACUUUUUUUUAUUAAAUUAACUGAUUAGGUAUGUUAAAUAUGAAUUUAUUGUUAAAUUUUAAAAGGAUUCCAAAUUAAUUCCUAUAUCCAUUUGGAGAUCUUUCCAAAUUCAACAUGUGUCAUUAGUUACAAUCUAUUAAAAUUUGUUUCUAUAUUGGUUCCUACAUUAAUUAAAAAUAUAUAUAUAAUAAUAGCUUAGUUGGGGGUAUUUUAGGAAUUGAAAAAGUACAAUAAAUUCGAUUCUGCACUUGAUUAGGUAACUUUUCGAGUUGGAUCCUAGUCAUCGGGUUUUAUUUAUAAAAAAUAGGAUUUCAUUCAAACAAAAAUAAAGAGAAGAGUUGUAGUUGAGGAAAAAUGACUUUGAAGGGGUUAAGCUAAAUUUACAAUUUUUUUUUUCUUUUCCAUUUAUAUUUAUUUAAACAAAAAAUGCUAAAACUUCUUCUGGGUACUUGGAGAAGAAACUUAUGAUGAAAAGCCAAUUAUUAAAAUAAAGCAUGCUUUUGGAUGCCAAUUAUCAUUGAAACCAUAACUUAGCCUGCAAGAAUAGUAUAGUCCCAUGUCGGCAGACGGUUUCCAAGCCAAAGUUGUCAAAUGAUGAGAUGAUGAAGGAGCAUCAGAUUCAGAUGGGAGAUUAGCCAUUAUGAUUAAGCAGCAUUUAUAAGAAAAUUGAUCACUUAAUCACAACAUUCUCCCUCAUAAUUUCAUCACUUUUGAAUUCUCAAUCUCGAGGAGGAGUAGUAACAAAAACUUAUAAAUAUCUCUUACACAUAGGUAUCUUCCAACUGCACGGAGGUGGGUAAGUGUCACGAGCGUUAACUUACUUGAAAUCUUAUCUUAUCCAUGGACCAUGGACCAUGCACCAUGCACCAACAUACACUUGUCGUGUCACAACAUUGCCACGUGUUUCAGUAGUUAACGUGGCACUAUGAUAUGAAAUCAGUAUCCAGGUAUGGGUAAGAAUUUAGCCUACAUGCACAUCAUGCAUGCCUUUACGUAAUUGCCUAUAUAAACCACCCCCAAUUCUCCAUCCAAUCCAAGACAACUUACACUUUCUACUCAAAAAAUCAAUCUACAAUCUCUAUUUGUUUCUUUGUGUUAUUGUGUGAUCUUUGAAAAUGGCGAAUUACCAGAACCAAUAUGGUGCAACGGCCCAAUCUACAAAUGAUUACGGGAACCCACUCACCAACUACACCGGAUCAGAGCCCCAAUCUACAAAUGAGUACGGGGCUACAGAUGAGUAUGGGAACCCAGUCACCACCUACACCAGAUCAGAGCCCCACUAUACAGAUGAGUAUGGGAACCCAGUACGCGAAAGGGGGAUGAUGGACAAGAUCAAGGAGAAGCUCCCAGGUACUCAUGACCCCUACUCAUCUCAUUCUCAGACAACCUACCCCACUGCACGUUACGGUGAAACCGGCUACACUGGAUUGGAGCAGCACCAUGGGAUGAUGAACAAGAUGCCAGGUACUGACCCCUACUCAUCUCAUUCUCAUACAACCGGCACCACUGCACCUUACGAUGGAACCGGCUACACCGGAACAGAGUACCGCCAGCACAAGGGCACGAUGGACAGGAUCAAGGAUAAGCUGACUGGGACUGGUGGACAUAGGGUGGAUGAUCCCUACUCAUCUCAUUCUCAUAAAACCGCCACCACCACACCUUACGGUGGCACCACCACCACAGCUUACGGUGACAGCACCACCACACCUUCACCUUACGGUGGCACCACCACCACACAUUCACCUUACGGUGGCACCACCACCACAGCUUACGGUGACACCACCACCACACCUUCAGCUUACGGUGGCACCACCACCACACCUUCAGCUUACGGUGGCACCGCCACCACCACCUACCCCCGUGAAAAGAAGGGCAUCAUGGACAAGAUCAAAGAGAAACUUCCUGGUGGACAUCAUUAUUAAUAAUAGGGUUAUGUAAGAGAUAGAUACGUUAGGUAUCGUUUUGUGUUCAAUGUUUUAGUAUGACGUGUAUAAUAAGCGGUGCUUGGUGUGGUUGUUAUGUUUGUGAACACCGAGCUCUGCGCCAUGUCCUUUGUAUUUUGUGAUACAUACUUUGUAUGUCCUUUAUAUCUAUCUUAACAAUAGUUCCUGUGUAAGCAAGUUUUAAUUGUUUGGAGAGGGAUUUAUUAAAACCAGCAAUAGUCUAAUUAUUUUAAAUUAUUAUAAUUUACAAGGAAUUCAAACUUGAGGCCAAAAACGUAAGGCUCACCUCUGCUAUUAUUCAUGGUAUUCACGAUUGGGUUGUAGAUAAAGAAUUUUAUGGCUAUACGUUGUGGUAUCUUACGGCACUUCAACAAUAAAGUAUCUAUUCCACACAAACAAAAGACGGUUCAUGUCACGAUUAUUGACUUAACCCACAUAUACUUUGAAAUUAAAUUUUUUUUCAGUAAAAGCAUUUAAAUUUGGAGUCAUUCUAUAAUGAAGGCGGCUCUUAGAUGAGAUAUUAUCUCUUAAUUAUUAAAUUAAAUUAAUUAUUUUGAUCUAACGAUUAACUAAUUUAAUUUAAUAAUUAAAAAAUAGAACAUCAUCUAGAUGAGACCCACACUUUAGAAUUUGGCUACUCAACAGAUUGGUCCGUUUCAUGUCGGCCGUUUGUAGACCAAACUGCUGAAAUUGGGCCGGUUCAAUUCAAUAACCCUGUACAGCUAGAACCAAUGGAUAACACCCACGUGGAACCUCAUACACGGAACGAUGAAAUCCCUCUUAUGAAUCUUAGCCAUCCAAUGAGUCGGUCUGUGUGACAAAGAUCAAGAUGAUGAAUGACUUUUACAAGGGUCAAAAGCUAGUGGAGUGGAACGGGUACAGAUGUUGUUGUUCCUCCUGUCGUCAUCAAUUCCAUACAGACGCGGUGAAAUGAUACCUGCUUUUCAAGACAACGAGAACCACUUAUUUUAUCUUAUCUUAAUCGUAAUCUUUAAUCUUAUGCCCGACGUAAAAAGAAAACAAAACAAAAACAAAAUAUCUUCCGAUGUGCCGACACCGGCACACAGGUGUCCUGUCUCAACAGCGCCACGUGUCUCAUAUGUGAAUAUCAGGUAGGUAUGAAAUUUACUUUGCUAAUUAUGUACGUGGGUACGUGUAAAGAUUAAUGAAAUUAUUAUUCAUGGCAUGGCAUGCGCGUUAUGCAUAAUGCAUGCAUAGCCUUUGGGUGUAGAUUCGUUGCCUAUAUAAACCAACCUCAGUUCUAAUUUCAAAUACAUCACUUCAUCCCAAACCAAAGCCAGUUUCAUUCAUUUGGUUUUUAUCAGGAGUUGUAUUUUCUUGUGUCUUUUUUUGUUCGUACUUUGAAAAAUGGCGCAUUUUGGUUCAACACCCGAGCCUACUAAGACUGAUGAGUAUGGGAACCCGGUUCAUCACACCACCACCGGAACCGGUCGGACAGACGAGUUCGGGAACCCGGUUCAGCACGGCGUGGCGGAUACCGGGUACGGAACUGGUGCAGGGUACGGCACUCAUACAAAACCUGGUGUUGUUGAGCACCACGGCGUCCCUGCUGUGCUUCAUUCCAAGGAUGACCAGUACUCUCGUGAUACCCAGACAACCACUGGAGGUUACGGUGGGGACGGGUACACAGGAGGAGAGCACCAGGAGAAGAAGGGUUUACUAGGCCAACUCCAGGACAAGCUGCCAGGUGGGAACAAGGAUGGCCAGUACUCUCAUGACACCCAGACAACCACUGGAGCUUACGGUGGGGCCGGCUACACAGGAGGAGAGCACCACGAGAAGAAGGGUAUAAUAGGCCAAGUUAAGGACAAGCUGCCAGGUGGGCAAAAGGAUGACCAGUACUGUCGUGACACCCACCCAACCACUGGAGCUUACGGUGGCGCCGGCUACACAGGAGGAGAGGACCACGAGAAGAAGGGUAUAAUAGGCCAAGUCAAAGACAAGCUGCCAGGUGGGCAAAAGGAUGACCAGUACUGUCGUGACACCCACCCAACCACUGGAGCUUACGGUGGGGCCGGCUACACAGGAGGAGAGCACCAGGAGAAGAAGGGUAUAAUAGGCCAAGUUAAGGACAAGCUGCCAGGUGGGCAAAAGGAUGAUCAGUACUCUCAUGACACCCACAAAACUACUGGAGCUUACGGUGGGGCCGGAUACACAGGAGAUGAUACCCGGGAGAAGAAGGGUAUAAUAGGCCAAGUGAAGGACAAGCUGCCAGGUGGGCAAAAGGAUGACCAUUACUCUCAUGACACCCACCCAACAACUGGAGCUUACGGUGGGGCCGGGUACACAGGAGAUGAUACCCGGGAGAAGAAGGGUAUAAUAGACCAAGUAAAGGACAAGCUGCCGGGUGGGCAAAAGGAUGACCAUUACUCUCAUGAGACCCACCCAACCACUGGAGCUUACGGUGGGGCAGGGUACACAGGAGAUGAUACACGGGAGAAGAAGGGUGUAGUGGAGAAAGUGAAGGAGAAGCUGCCAGGUGGGCAAAAUGUGCACCCAACCACUGGACCUUACGGUGGGGGUGGGGCCGCGGGCAUAGGAGAGACCCGGGAGAGGAAGGGUGUAGGGGAGAAAGUGAAG